rnacentral:lncRNA from 1 species
GAACUUGGAGGCAUCAGGUCCGAGGAUUGCAUCCUGGAUAACCCUUACUCCAUCUCCUGCUCUCAGAAAAAAAAAAAAAAAAACUUCUCCCCUAAUCUGUUCAAUUGUCCUGUUAUAAUCCCAUAUCCAGAAUUUCAACAUAAAUUAAUCAAAGUAGACCAAUUGAGCCAAUUAAAACCCAAACAAGAUUCUGAUAACUGAAGAAAGUAAAAGAGCAGGACUAAACCCUCCAACAAUCACGGAUCAACCACUAUUUUUUAGACAAAAUCUAAUUAACCUAUGUGGUGAAACAAGAACAACAAAUAAAACAUGUAAAUUCAAUAAGAAAUCAGUUAAAAAUCAGCUGCCUUCAGUUCUCUUCAUCAACUAGCACCUGAAACAAGGUUCUAUUCAAUAACAAACUAGCAUGGAAAUAGCUAAAUAGUAGAAACUAGAAAAAGAAAUUAAAAAAAUAAACAAUAUAAACAAAAUCAAUUCAAACACAAACAACUAAAUAUCAUAAAGUUGAGAAAGAUACCUAAGUAAAUUCAUAAUCAAUUCAACAAUUCUAGAGCUAGUAAGAAAAAGGAAAAUCAAUUUAUGCUGAGUAAAAACCCUAGAGAAAACCAUAAUUUAAUCAAUAAACAACGAGCCAAAUUCCAAGAAAGAAAAAGUUGAAUAGGAUAUGAAAUUCACCUUUAGAUUGAAAGCUGGAUUGGAAACGAAUCCAAGAAUUCCAAGUGAAAAGAAAAUUCGAUGAUUAAAAAUAAAAUUUUAAUCAUUCAUUUUGAAAGAGCAAUUUGUUUAAGUUUGUUUCGUGUAGGAAAAGGCUUUUCAGUGGGAAAGGAGGACUUUUCGAAUGCCAAGCCUCCAUUUAAAAACAGAUUCCACUACUGCAGAAUUUCAUAGAAAUGUUUAUUUUCGGGAUUUAUUUAUCUCCACGCGCUAAUCUGUUCAGUUUAUUCCACGCACCGUAUUUAUGAGCAACAAAAGGCGGCAAAAGGAUAAUGUUUGUUUUAACAGAGUUGGUGAGCGUUUGGUGAUGACAGUUGGGAUUAGCCAGAAGAAAAUACAUUGAAAUUUAUUUUUCAUGUUAUAAAUAACAAACUUUUAUUUGUUUGUUUUAUUUUUCCUUUAUUUUGCAAAUCGCAUGUGGCUAAGCUAGCUGGCUACUGACUAAAAAUAGAAUUCCUUUUGUCUUGUAUUUCAAGGUAAAAAACGUGGAGUAUCUGAUUUUCUUCUUAGUAAAUAAAGAGAACUCUAUGCCUCCUCUCCUUGGUCACCCCCAGCUUAUCUGCAAGUAAGGUCAUAUGCACACCAUCUGCAGCUCGUGUAACACUACUUCUCUCCCAUCAAACACCUUAGCUAACAGGUCUGCCACAUAGUUGGCUUCACGGAAGAUAUGGAGUAAAAUUCCCUGAUUCUCCGAAUAAGCGGAUCAUUGAUAGUGCCAACCGGAGCCUUGAUAAUCCCAUCAACUGCAAUCUUGCUGUCACUGUCAAGAAUUACUUGCUUGUAUCCUCUCUUCCAUGCCAUGUGAAGCCCGUCAUGAAUCGCCCAAAGCUCCGCCCGAAUGGUCGAGCAUCCACCAAACUUCCUGCAAUAGCCCGCUAUCAAGUCCCCAUUGUUGUUCCUUAAUAACCCUGCAGAAGAAAACAGUUGACCACUAGAAAGAUUCGCCCCAUCUGAAUUAAUCUUCAACCACCCUGGGGGUGGAGGCUUCCAACCGACAUGCACCCACUGUAAUCUUCAGAACCAUAUUACUCUUUACAGUUUACAGUUUUGUGCCCAACAAAUGCUUCGACUAAUGACCUCCUCUAGUGAAGAAUUUGAUUCCUGAAAAAUCAAAGUGUUCCUCUGUUUCUAGAUAUUCCAGCAAGCUAUAGCGAAAAGAGUAUUCCAAGGAGCACCAAUAUAUGCUAGUUCAUUCGAAUUUUUCAGAUUAACAACCAACCAUUCAAAUACAACAAGAGAAAAUAAUUGCGUCUGAUUUGAAUGAGAAACAGUUCGCUGUCAUACCUGAUUGGCAAAAGAACAAUCACGUAUAACAUGUAGAGCUCUUUCGGGUACCGACCCACACAACAAGAAGCAUCCAUAGCAAUCCCUCUCUUGCAUCUCUCAGCAUUACUGAGUAUCCUCUCCUUAGCAACCAAUCAGAGGAAAUUUUUCACUCUUCGGAGGCAAUUUAAGUGCCGCAGGAUUGACCAAAAGAUAUCUUGAGAUUACUUAAUCGGUCGUAAGCAUCCGAAACAGAAGAACGCCCAUCCUUCUUCCACCUCCAGCUAAUGCGAUCAUCCCCAUCUGUCACUUUGGGUGGCGGAAUACUAGCAACCCGAGACAGCAGGGAGUGAUCCAACCAUAAAGAAAGUUUGUGCCAUGCCCAGACCCCAGUUACCAUCCAAAUCUACCAUCUCAUUUACCAUAGAGCGCUUGUCGACCCCAAUUAAGUUUGUAAAGAGCUCCUAUAGUGGGUCUAUAUCAUUAAUCCAAUGGUCAGUCCAGAACUCAACAGAUUUGCCAUCACCAAUUAACCAAACCACAUUGCACCUGACCUCCUCCCAGACUUGAGUGAUUGACCUCCAAACAAAGGGCCAUCUUUCUACCAUUAUUCAUAGUCCUCCAAAUAAACUAUCUAGCCAUUUUCUUCAAUAUCUCUACACACUCUAGACGGAAUCAUAGAAAUUUGCAUAAAAUAGUUCGGAAUUGAAGUAGUAACGAUUUCACCAAAGCAACAGGAUUGGCCAUUGAGAGCACCCUAACAUCCCAACCACUCAAGUGACUCUUAACUUCGUCAAGCAAAAAGGCGUAGGUGCUAGAACAGAUUUGUGGGAGAGAGGAAUACAAGAUAUUUACCCUAGUCCUCCACUUGGUUAAAGCUCAAAAUCGAUUCCAUCUCCUGCCUUACUUCAUUGCUAGUCCUUGAGAAAUAGGUGAACUAAUCGAGAAUUCCUUUCAAGUUAUGGGCUCGUAAUCCGUCAGCUUCACAAAACAACACUAAAUCAUCAGCAAAAAAAUAAAUGCUACAGCCGCGGUCCAUCCUUGGCAAGUUUAAUUGGCUUUCAUGUGUUCUCAUUCACCUCUUUCACAAUAUCAUGCCCAAGUCUCUCCAUUCCAAAAACAAAUAGAUAAGGUAAGAGAGGUUCACCUUAGCAAAUACUCCUAGAUGGCUUAAAUUCUUCAGUCAAACUACCAUUCCAAAAUAUUUGCAUAGAGUUCGACGAGACACAAUGCACUAUAAAUCUUACCAAAUGACAUGAUAGUCCUGUCUCGUAUAAAGAGUACUCCAAAAAAUUUCAUUGGAUUCUAUCAUAUGCCUUCUGCAAGUGCACCUUGAUGGCCAUCCAACCUUUUUUACUCUUCCUUGUCCUCAUAGAGUGAACCACCUCCUGAGCUAUUAAAAUAUUAUCAGUUAUCGAUGUCCUUGCAAUGAAACUCACUUGGUUAGGACCAAUAAGUUUAGGCAUGAUGUGCUUAAGUCUUCGAAACGAGGACAAUCAGGGUUUUGUUUAUAGAACCUUUAAUAUCAUUCCCACUAAAUACAAUUUCACAAAAUCACAGAAAGCUUCACCAACGAUCCCCACUCAAUUGAAAGAAAUGAGCAUGCAAGCCAUCGACCCCAGGAGACUAGAAAGGUGCCAUCUCGAAUAAGGCAUAUUAAAUCUCCUCUUAUGUAAUCUUGGCCAAAAGAAAAUCCAAAUCUUGUUAGCUUAAAAAUGGAAAACACGCACAAAUAGGAAAAUCACCAUUCACAACACUAUUCGAAUAUAAAUCAUGGAAAAAUCGAAUAGCUUCCUCUUGAAUUAAGGUGUGUAUGGGCCGGUCUGGGUUCGGGCCAGGCCCAGAUCGGCCCCAGACAAAAUUUUAAGCUCGUUUUCUUAGCCUGGCCCGAAAUAUGGGCCUAAAAAUUUGUCUAAACCCGACUCGAAAUAAAUUUGUUAAACCCGACCUGGCCCGGCCCAUAUUAAUUUUUUUUAACUUAUUUCAUUAAAUAAAAAAAUUUUAAAAUAUAAUAAAUCAAAUACAUUAAAAACAAAUAUUAAAAUAAGAAACAAAUGAAAAAUAAUACUAAAACAAUUCUUAAAAUAAUACACAAAUUAAAAAUACAAUAAGAAGUGAUUAUAUUAAAAUUGAAAAUAAAAUGUAAAUAUGAUUAAAAAUAAAAAUAUAUAUUUACUAUAUAAUUCGGGCCGGGCCGGGCUGGGCCCAGGUUAAAAAAAGUUUUACCCUAGCCCGUCCCGUUUUUUAAACGGGCCUCUUUUUUUGCCCAAAUCCAUAUUUCGAACCUAUAUUUUUACCCGAAUCCUCCCAUUUUUCGAGUGGGCCUUCGGGCCGAGCCGGGUAGCCCGACCCAUGCACACCUCUACUCUUGAAGGUCCUCAUCAUCAAAGCACCAUUCCUCACCUUGUACCUUUAAAACACAUAUUUUAUUAUGGCUUAGCCAGGCCAUCGCUCUCUUACGAAAUAUGAUGUAUCACGAUCCCAUGGAGUAGCCAAUCUGAUCUAGAUUUCUAGCGCUUAAAGAGCUCCGCAGGGUCUAAAAUAUUCUCCAGUUCUCUCCUAAGUUUAGAUUCCAGAUUAACCAACUUCGUAGAAUAGCAACGUUUACGAGCAGCUUGGACCCCUUUUAGACGUCCAACAACUAACCUCUUGUGUUUACCUAUUAUUCCAAAGGGAUCCCGAUUCCACACUUUAACCUCCUUAGUAAAACUAGCAAUCAAAUGCGGUCAAGCAGCCCAGCCUACUCCAAUGACGAGCUCCAAGUCUUGGAAACUAUCGUGGGUCUCCCAACCAGCAAAAUACAGAAAAGGUCGAAUCCAGCUAUUACUUAACAAGUGGCCUACCGAUAAUAACAACGAGCAGUGUCUGACGACCUGAUUUUAUUCAGUGCCAGAAACUUCAAAUUUUGAAAUCCAACUCCGCAAAAUGAGUUGAUUGAAAAUUUAGUUAAAAUAAUUAUGUGUUCAGUAGGAAAUAAUAAUAUUAAUAUACUGAGUGAUUAAAUUGAUUAAGCUAUUAAAUUAAUGAGAUUUAAUUGAAGGGAAUUGAAAGUCUUUAAUAUGCAAUUUUAUCAAGGACUAUGAAAAAAUUAAACCAAUUAUAAUUCAUAGAAAUGUUUUCGCAUGAUUAUAUCAUCAAAGUCCAUUAACCAUCAUUAAACCAUAUUUUUAACUAAUAAAUUAAAAGUUUAAUUAAUGUUAAAUUAACUAAGUAUAUAUUUAUAAUAUGAUAAGUGGGAGAGAGGAGAGGUGACCAUUAUAAAAAAAUUGAUAGUUUUUCAAGCUUAUCCAAAAUUCACAAGUUAUCGAUGAGAUCGCGACAUCAAGGAUCAAAGGCGAAAACGGGUAAUAAACUCUAUUUGUACUCUUAUAAUUUGAGUUUAAUUUAUAUUUUAUUAAAUAAUUAAAUAUAAUCCAACAAUAAUGAUGUCAAACAUGAAUCAAAGUUCGUACACACUCAUUUACUUAAUUUGUUCAAAUUACGCCAACAUAUGUAUAUAACUGUCUGCAUUGUGAUAAAGUGAUGCUAUUUAUAUUGAAAAUUAUUUGAUAAAUGUGUUGAUUACGAUAUCAUGUUAUUUGAGUUAUAAUAUGAUUUAAUGGGGUUGAGAUAUGUCGAUAUAUAUAAAUAUAUAUAGGGUUCAGGGUCUAUGAUCUGACCGUCUAUUUCAUGUUAUGCCACCCCCCAUAUGAGCAAUUGAUAACACAUCAACUAUUUUCAGCAGCAAUAGUUUUAGUGUAGUUCAUUAAAGGAUAGGUUAUAUAAGGAUAUAUGAACUAAUGGGAAUGGUAGAUAUACCGGAAACUAACAAAGGGCAUAAGCCCUAUAUUACAAAGUUAGAAAACCGGGGAGAUAUCCGGUCGGUCAAUCGACAACUCUUGCCGAAUUAGUCUUUUUUCUAAUCUAAGGUUAGAGCUAAAAUAUGUAUGUCCUACAUACAUUGAUGAAAACAUUCAUAGUUGCUCACUCUGCGCGUCGUCGGUUUUCAGUCUCUUAGCAGCAGUGAUGAAUUCCGAGAUCACCUUAACCUCAUUUAGCGGUGGCUGUAUCGAAAUAAAGGAUGUUAGAAAGGAAAGCUGUGAAAAUACAGCACAUUUGUAUGUAUGCAUGAGUCUCUUAACAGAGAAGAUAAUUGACCUGUGACACAAAAUGCCGCUGCACCGUAUUAAGUACUUGUUCCCUUGGUGAAUAACCACUGAUGCUUCCCUGAAAAUAAAGAUAAAAGAACCCCAUGAAUUCUAUAAAUAUAAUAAUUCAUUGACGGCGAGAGUUAGUAGGGACCGACAAGUUUGAAGUGCCUGCAAUAUCUUCGCAAGGAGUCAGUGUCGAGUCUUGCCAAAUUUACCUUCAAAAUUAGGAACACAUGAUACAAGUAUAUUUAGAAUCAUAAAACAAUGGCAUAUAUGAUACAUACUACAAUUUUUGGCUUAUACUAACCGAUUGUGUUGCAUGAAUAAUGGAUUGAACAUCUCUGUAACCUGUACGAUUCGUUGAUUUCAUGGAUGCAGAUGGCAGCCAUGGUUUUGUAUUUCGAACUCUGGGUUUGGCAGGCCUGUGGAACUCAAUGUUACUAGCUGUCCAAAAGCAAAAAAAUAAACAUGAAGGGGCAUGAUCUGUUAACAUGAAAAAACAAAACAGAAGGUUGAGAACAUUCGUUUGACUUACGGAAAUCGCGGUCCUUCUCGCCAAUGUCCGAUCCACUGCUCGAGUUAUCAAAAUCAUGAUCAUCACCUACUUCAUUCCCUGUAGGAUGUUCCAACACACUCAAUGCAUUCCUCUGAAGCUUCAAUCACAUAUAUAAACAAUAUUAUUAAGGAAAUAGCAUCAUAAACACAACAAAGUUGAUGUCUGGUCCAUCCUGUCGGACUAAAAGCUAUAGAAAACUAAUCAAAAGUUAAAGCUACAAAAAUCAGUGUGCAAAACAACUUAACCAUUGAUAUAUAUUGACUAUGGAGAGAAUUUGCAUCAAAUAGUGGAAUUUAAAAGGGGAAAAAAGAAAGAGAAGAGACUAUAAUAAUGAUAAAUGAAAGUAAAGCUGAAAAUAUACCAGCCAGUGCCAACCACCUAGGCCCACAGCUUUCUUGACCACGCCUUGCAAGCCAACCAAUACAGAUUUUGUUCUAUUAUUUCCCGUGACAAUAACUUUUGUGUGUCUCGGAAGAACCGAAAGCUCUUCAUCGCCGCUUUCUUCCCUGAACGGCGACAGAACCCGAGAAGAACACAGUUCAUGCUCCAACAUUUUUGUUAACAAUUGUCGAGACAAAGCUAACUUAGGGGAAUAAACAGCUGACUUUAGCUAAUCAAAAACCCCAUCAGCUCCAUCAGUUUCCACGUUUGUUUUCGUUUUAUUAAUGGAAGAUUCUGAGCCUUAGGUUAUGAUUCUGUAAAAAAGGACAAGGUUUUUUUUAAUGAAGUACAGAGAGAAUCGUAAAGAUUAAUUAAAUAGAAGCCAGAGAAGAGAAAGUUUGAUCACUGACACGAAUAUUUAGAGGAAGAAAUGAAUGCGGGUUUUGUCUUCAGAGAAACCGAUCACUGAUUCACGAGACUUUAAUUGAUCUUAAUAAAUGAACUCCCACGAAAAAGAAGACGAUGCUACUGCUAUCUCAUCAUUAAGCUUCCGUUCAUAUCACCUGAAACAAGCAGAAAUGGAUUAAAACUUAAAACCCUUUUUUGUAUUAAGAACUUUAAGGUUGAAAACAAUCCAAUUUGCAAUAUAUUAAUCACCAACCCAUGGUGGGAAAAAAAAACUUUUUAAAAAGCUGGAUUGUAGAUAUCAAUAGCCAAGAAAAAGUAGACCAAUGAAGACAAGUAUGUUUGGUUGCUUAGAAAUUUUAACUAUAGAACAAAAACUUAUAAAUAAAAAAAUAAAACGCUCAUGAACCAUUUAAGGGAAGCAUCAGAAAAAUAAAUAAAAACUGGUUACAUUCUAAAACCCUCCAUUAAUCUAAGAAGAAAAGAGAUAGAUAGAACAGAAGAAGCUGUAAGAUUCUCUUGGCCGCAUUUUCUUCGAGGAAACUUUAGUAAAACAAAAGUUGAAAAAGGUCAGAAUUUUGGCAUUUAAAAAGAAAAAGAACGCUAUUAGUCACUUUCAACGUUAUGCUCAAAUUCAAUAAACAAAACAGCUAAAACCCAAGUGAGAAUUAAGAAACUAUUUGGUAUACAAUCCAUUCAAACAUAAAGCCUAAAAGGCUAUUUUUUAAAAGAAUCUUGCAUAGAAUAAAAGAAACCCCAAAUUUAGAAGGAAAAAAAUUCCGAUGGUACCUGAAGAACACGAUAAAAAUGCAAAACGAUUCAAAAGAAAGAAGAAAAACACAGUACAAUACAAUGAAUGUGUUUUACGGGUCGGGGAUACUGGAUUUCGGGUUCAGAAAAUUGGGUUUGUAAGCAUUUCUUUAUAAGAAAAAUAAAAAGAGGGGGAAAGAAAAACGCCUAUUAGUUGAGCAAAGAGAGAAACUGUAAAUGCAGAGGUUUUCGAGAGAAAAGAAAAGUUUGAAUCGAAAAAUGGGAAAGAGGGAGAGAGAAAGCACAGUGAAUGCUUAUCAACUGCCAUGGGAAACGACCUGCCAUGGUGUCGUACGGUCGGUCCUUUCAUUUUCCUUUUGUAACCGGGCAAUGCAACACGCCAUUGUGUUUUAUUUUGUUGAAAAUGGCUCGGCUAACGGCUAUAAUAAGCGGAGUGGGGGUAUUUAAUGGAUGUGGGACCCAGAGUGAUACGGAAGUGAUAGUGUGGGUCCCAUUGGAUUAAUUUGUUUGGUGAGGAAAUUGUUUUGCAUGGUUCCUAUUCUUACCUACGCACUCUCCCGCACACGAAUUCUUCAUGACUGCGUUAAAUGUUGUGGUGUGUCGCCAUACCCCAUAAGCUUAAAUCCCUUCAUUUUGUUCCUACCUUGAUUCGUUUGAAUUCCUAUUUUAGGUUAAAUUCUGCUAUUAUUUUUGUAAAGUUUUGUUAAUACACCUCUUAUUUUCUUUUAUACUUUAAUUUUGUCAUUUUUAGAAUUUGAAAAUUCUAUUCCUAAUUAAAUAAUAAUUAUUAAAUUCAUUAAGUUAAGUCUUAUUAUUUUGAAAUUUAAUGUGUCAAAUUGUUUUCACAUAUUACUCACAAAAAAUUAGUUAAUAGAUUUAACAAAAGUCGUUUGCAUUAAAACUAAAAUUUUGAAAUUCAAAUAUUAUAGCUACUAAAAAUGAUCCAAUAUGUAAAUGCGGACUAAAUUAUAACUUUAAUCAAAAUAUACAGACUGGUGACAUAAUUUAAACAUACGGAUUUAAUUGUUACCAUUAGAUCAAUACUAAAAUUUCAAAAUUUGAAAAGUACACGAGCUAAAAUCAAUUAAAUUAAGGUAUAUGUACAAAAUUUACAAUUUAUGCAAAGUACGAGGUCUUAUUACAAAUUUUGACCCUUUUUAUACUUUACAAAGGUUGUUAAUUUAGUAUUUAUAUUUUAAUUUGAUCAAUUUUAAUUUUUAUCCUUUAAAAUUUUAUAGUUCUCACCAAAUAUUAACUAUUGAAUUCAUUUUGUUUGAUAAAGUGUUGAAGAAAAAUCAAUCAACUAUGAAUUAAUAUUUUCAUAACUUAAUUUUUCAAACGCAUUUGAUAACCCACAAUAAAACCAAUUGAAUAGAUUUUUUGCUAAAAAAUAUAUAUAUAAAAUGAUAAGUGGAUAAGUUCCUACACAUCACUUAAUAGAGAAUAAAUUUAAUGGUUUUUUAUUUUAUUUUAUUUUAUUUCAUUUAAGAUUAUAUUAUUCUCUAUCAAAUGAUUUAAUUAUAUUUACUGCUCAAUUUUAAAUAAAACACUAAACAUAUUUUAUAACUCAAAUUCAAUAUUUAUUUUUUUUAGUACUUAUUUUUCAACAUUUAAUUUUUUAGAUUAUCAAGCAUAACCUAAGUUACGAUAUUUUCAAAAUCUAAUGCGGCAAAUAUAUUAUCAUGUGUAAUGCCAUGUCAGCUUGUUAUUUUUACAUAUUACUCACUAAAGAUUCAUGUAAUAGAGUAACGGUGGUUAUUUACAUCAAUACUGAAAUUUCAGAAUUCAAAAAGUAUAAGGACAUAAAGUGAUCCAAUUGUAGUCUGUAGGCUAAAUCUGCAAUUGCAUGUAUAGUAUAGCUCCAAUAAUUGAAUUUGAUCAAACAGAUUUAACUCCUAUUGUUUCAGUUGGGAUUAAAAUUCUAGAAUUUGAAGAAUAUAGGAGACUAAAAUUUAUCAAAGAAAAAUAUAAUGAUUAAAUCCACGACUUUUAUAAAGUACAUGGACUAAUAUUAAAAUUUAACUUUGUAACACCCCUAACCCGUCUCCGUCGCCGAAUCAGGGUUACGAGGCAUUACGAAACCAAGCUCACAUAAACAUAACUUUAAUAUCUAAUUCCAAAUGCAAGUCCAAUUCAUGAACAUAUAUAAUCAAAUUCAAGCAUGGAAGUUAAACUCUUUUCGCAUUGCUAUUUACACAAUAGGAUUCAAAAUUAUCCAAAACAUCAUCAAGCCUAUACAUGCCAUAAGAUCGAGUUCAAAUAUUUAACAAAAUACCAAAAAAAAAAGUCGAUAGUGUGAUGGGCGGUGCUGAUGAUCCCCGAGCUCGUAACGCGUCUCCAAAAAAAAAUCUAUAAAAACGAAUGAACGAAAGCAAACAAAGUAAGCUUUUAUAGCUUAGUAAGUCUACAGCAUAUCUAUAAUACAUAUAAAAGAAUCAUAUAAUUCUUUAAGUAAAUUUAUUGAAAUUACAAUCAUCAAAUAUGAUUACUAAUCAAACACUACUUUAUUGAGUCAUUUUGUUUAAGUCUAAAAGGAUGUAUAUUUAUCUAAUACACAUAAACGGACAAAUGUAUAUACAUUAUAUGCAUAUAAUCAAGUUACUAGCAUAAUCCUUAACAGCAUAUACUGAUUUCUAGAGUACUUAUUGUUCGCACUUCAUCAAAUCCAUUUAAAUACAACUAUUCAACUACAUAUAUCAAAAGCCAAAUUUUUAUGCUUAUCAUCCAUAAAUGCCGAAUGCACAUAUGCACCUAUACCCAUCUAUGCCGAAUGCAUAGAUACAUACACUUAUUUUCACCUAUGCCGAAUGCAUACACAUAAAUAUAUUCACCUAUGCCGAAUGCAACAUAUUUAUAUAUAUACAUAUCUAUCAAUUGCUUAGACCAAAUAUAUGUAUAUAUAUAUGCUCAUCAAGUUAAUAUGACUAAAAUCAUGUGAUUGAACAUUUAUGUAUACAUCGAUUUCAUAUAAUCAAAAUCAUAGAGGUAUCAAUUGUAUAUUAUCACAUGCUUUAAACGGAUUCACCGGCAUUUAGCCUGCUAGGUUUUAAAACCUGAUUCAAUACACCGGCUCUUAGCCUGCUAGACUUAUAGUCCGAAAUAUGUCACCGGCAUUAAGCCUGUUAGACUUAUAGUCUGAAAUGUGUCACCGGCAUUAAGCCUGCUAGACUUAUAGCCUGAAAUGUGUCACCGGCAUUAAGCCUGCUAGACUUAUAGUCUGAAUAAUUUCACCGGCGUUAAGCCUGCUAGACGUAAAGUCUGAAUUAUGUCACUAACGAUAAACCGAAUGAUACUGAGCUUUAACAAAAGAAUCUCAAUUCAUAGGAGUUGUAUAUCAUAAUGGUAUAUAGAAUUCACAUAAAAAUUCAGCUCAAUAAUUUAUAAACUAUAUCCUUAACCCACAUCGGUAUAAAAAGUUCAAUCAUCAAAUUCAACUCAAUAUCUAAAUUAUACAUCCGAAUAUAUAUAUAUAUAUAUAUAUAUAUAACUUAACACAUUGAAGCAUACUAUUAAUAUCGUACUUUCGAACACAUUAAGAUAAUCCAAGCUAAUAAUUUCAUCUCUUCAACCCCGUUCAAGAACCUUUACAAGAACAUACAUACCUAAUCGAAUCUCCCUUUUUCAUAUAUAAGUUUCAUACUUAAAUUUAUCACAAGAACAUAUACAUGCAUAGUUGCAUAGUCGAACCCCUUAUAAACUUGUAUAAAUGGCAUACCUAAGUUCAAUACGAGAACAUAUAGAUGUAGAUUUGCAUAAUAUAUAUAUAAUUCACUCAUACUUUUAAUUAUUUCAACUAUCAUAUUUUUAAUUAUAAUUCAUCCAAAAACAGCUCAUAUACUUAUUUAUAUACUGAUUUUAUGACAUUAAAUAGCUAAUAGACUUACCUCGGAUAUCAACAAACACGAUCGACUAUUCAAUUAUCUUCGACUUCCCCCGAUCCAAAUUCGUUUUCUUCGUUCCUUGAUCUAAACAUAGUCAAAUUUAACCUUUUUAUUCAUCAAAACAUUCAUUUGAGUCCAACAAUACAUAAAUGGGAAAAUUACCAUUUUGCCCCUAACAUUUUGCACUUUUUGCAAUUUAGUCCUUUUUGCACAAAACACAAAAUACACAAAAUUUGCCCAUAACACACAAGGGCCGAAUAUUCAUGGUUCUCAUACAAGUCCACACAUUGCAUUUAUUUCACAUUUUAGUCCCUCAAAAAUUUAUUUUCACAAUUUAGCCCUAAAUACUCAAAUUCAUCAAAAAUACCAAUACAAAACAUGUUAAUCUAAGACAUAUCUUCCAUUAUUCAUCAUCAAACAUCCCAAAACACAAAUAUUCAUCAAUGGCAUAAUUCAAAAUAUUCAUCAAUUCACAAAAUUAAGACAUGGGUUUUGAAGUAUUCAAAGCAACGAUCUCAAAAACGUAAAAAUCAUCAAAAACCGAACAAAAACUAACCUUGAAUUAAGCUUCAAAAGAUGGCCGAACCUAGCUUAGGUUUCUUUCUUUUUCUUUUCUCUAGUUUCGGUCAAAAUAAGAUGAAAAAUGUGGCUUUUAAUUUGUUUGUCUUUUAAUAUAUUAACAUUAUAAUAUAAUAUAUUAUUAUAACCUUUAUACAUAAUAUAAAAACUAUAAUUUAUAAGCAUAAUGCGAUCCACUAUCUUGAAUAAUGGCCUAAUUUCCUAUUAAGGACUUCACAUUAUAAAGACAUUAGCAAGUUAGCACUUUACACAUUAAUUAGUCAAUUUCACAUUUUAUGCGAUUAAGUCCUUUUAUUAAAUUAAGCACACAAACAAUAAAAUUAAUUCACGAGAUUAUCACACAUGUAAAUUAACAUAUAAUAAACACAUGAAAUAAUAUUAAAAUAUUUUUUUAACUCGGACUUGUGGUCCCGAAACCACUAUGUCCAAUUAGAGUCAAAAUCGGGCUGUUACAAACUUAAAUUUUAUUUAUUUUAAUUUAAUUGUGAAAAUUAAUCAUUUAAACUCAUCCAGUUUCUACUUGAAUGGAUUCGAAUAUGAAAUUGAUACAAAUUUUAAAUAUUCAAAAUUAGAGAAACCCCGAAUUUGAAGUAUUUCAAACUUAAAAUAAUUUAGACAAAUAACUAUAAAUUAUUUGAAUGCGUAAUAAUCUAAUUCUAAAACCCAAAUGACUUAAUUCAAACCUUGAGUAAUUUAUUAAAAAAGGGGUAAAGUAUAAAAAUAGUCACUUUUAUUUGUCUAGUAUUACAUUUUAAUCAUUUAUGUUUAAAAUAUUAUGUUUUAGCCACUUAUGUUAUUGUUUUAUUACAAAGUGGUCACUCUAUUGUUAAGCUUUGUUACCACCCUAGCAACAAUGUUACGUGACAGUCUAAAUGGGUUUUAAAUGCCAACUUGGAUGUCUAACUGGGAUGAGAAUAGUUUUCCAAUCAAAAUGGAAAAGAAAACUAAAAGAAAAAUGAGACGAAUGGUUUCUAUUUAGUUUAAAGUGUAAUUAAUUUAAAUUUUUUAAUUAAUUAAAUUUAUUUAAUUAAAAACCUAUUUUUGUUUCAGUUUGACAUCCAAGUUGGCAUUUAAAACCCAUUUGGACUGCCACGUAUGAUUCUUGUUAAGGAGGUCACGGAGCUUAAUGAUAGAGUGACCACUUCGUAACAAAACAAUAACAUAAGUAACUGAAAUGUAACAUUUUAAAUAUAAGUGACUAAAAUGUAAUAUGAGGCAAACAAAAGUGACUAUUUUUGUAGUUUACCGUAAAAAAUUUAAAUUCAAAUUAAUUCUAUAAAAUUUUAUUUAACUCAUAAUAACUCAAAAUAAUUUAAUUGGGUAAAAAUGUUACGGGGCUAGAACUUUAAUUUAACAAUCUGUGUAGCUUUAGGUGAAAACUUUGCUUCAAAUUCACUUAAGUCACUCUAACUCUCAAAAGGCACUGAAAAUUAGCGAGAGUGAACUCUUAGUGUUUGACUAAAUGCUCUCAAAAGUAUUCAGUUACUCUAAAUGAGAUUAUUGCAAAUGAGGGAGAAUGCCUCUAUUUAUAUCGUUGAGUUCUCCCAAUUUAACAGUAUAGUUUAAAUUACAUUGAGGCUAAUAUUAAAAUCCAUCUACAAUAUGCAAGUACUAAGGGAUUUAAACACUAUACAAUCUUGUAAUAUCCUAAUUUUGGGCCUAGUCGGAAUAGCGAUUUCGUGACCACAAAAUCCAAGAUAGAAAUAAUUAUUUUAUGAUUAUUUUGAGGUCUAUGAUAUGAUUGCAUGAUUGUGUGAAAAUUUCGUGAAGAAAUUUUAUGCAUGAAGUGCUUAAAUUGAAAUUAGGGACUAAAUCGAAUAAUUUGUAAAACUUGCAUUCUAGAAGUUUCUGUAUGAAAUUGUUUUGAAAUAUUAAUUAGGAGGUCUUAAAUAGCAAUUUUACCAAUUUAUAAGUCUAUGGACAAAAAUUGGACAUGGAUGGAAUUUUUGGAAAGUUAAGUAGUAAGGGCAUUUUGGUCAUUUAGGGGUAAAAUGAAUUAAAAUACAAAAUUAAAAGCCAAUUUUGCUCAUCUUCAACCCCAUGGCCGAAUAUAGCAAGGAGAAACCAUGGCUAGGGUUUUUCAAGCUUCCAAGCUCGAUUGUAAGUCCGUUCUAGCCUCGUUUUUAAUGAUUUUUACGUUUUGGAGUCCCAGUAGCUCGAUUAAGCUUAUGCUAGCAAUAAUUCAACCUAGGGUUCAUAUUUGGAAAAAUACCCAUAGGUAAAAUUUGUGUAUUUUGGUGUUCUAUGAUAGAAUAUGAGGUUUUAAAUUAUGUUAGACAACUUUUACUACUCGGUUUUAAGUGAAAACGAGCAAAAGGGCUUAAUCGGUAAAAAUACCUAAUAGUCAUAAGUACAUGUUAGAGUGAGAAUUUGAUGUUACCAUAGAAUGGAAAAAUGAUCAGCAUGUCAUAAAACAUAAGAAAAUAGGCUGAAAUUUAAUUUAAGAUCUUUGGGGCAAAAGUGUAAAUAUGCGAAAGUUUAGGGGCAAAACUGUAAUUUUUCCAAAAUAUGAUUUUGGGUCAAUUUGAAUAAUGUGAGUCCUAAUUAGACUAUAUUUUAAAUGAUAGAGCAAGGAAAACUAAAAUUCGGGCUAAAAUGGGGAAAAUACCAAGUUGUGGACGAAAUGGUAAAAGUAGCCAUUUUCGCAUACGAGGUAAGUUCAUAUGUAAAUGUUGGUAACAUAGUUAUUAUUUUAAAUGUUUUAAUGUUAUUUAAAUGAUAUGAUAAUUAUUAUGAAAUAUUAUACUGUGAUAAUUGUUUGUUAAUAUGUCAAAUUAUGUGAUAUACUUGGAAAAUGUGAAAUACUACCGAGUAUCGGUAACGGCAUUCCGUAGAAGAUGGUUGAGACACAUGAUUGGGAAAAAGGUCCCGUUGAACCUUAGGAAUGGAUUAGGAUACAAGUGACAUGUCACUAGGAUAUUUGGGCAUCCGAACUCGUUGAGUUGAGUCCGAGUUCACUUAUGGAUGCGAAUGUCCGAACUCGUUGAGUUGAGUCCGAGUUCGAGAGAUGUAACUAGGUAUCCGAGCUCGUUGAGUUGAGUCUGAGUUCACUUAUGGAUGCGAACACCUGAGCUCGUUGAGUUGAGUCCGAGUUCACUUAUGGGCGGGUUACAUGGUAGCUUGGCUACAUAUGUGGCACUUAUGUGCAAACUUUCCAUGUAUCUGAAUUAUAUUCCGAUGUGUUCAACGGGUAAAAUUCUACUCAAAUGGAGAAUACUCGAGAUGAAAGGGACAUAUUAGUAAGUGUUGUGAAAUGAAUACUUUGAACAGGUAUGUACUUAACCCUCGGGUUGAAAACUCGAUAUAACAACAAUAUGGUAAGAUGAUAAAUGAAAAUGUGAUAUGAAUGUCUCGGUGAUGAUUAUGCAAAUGAUGUUUUAUGUUUGCGUAUAUAGUUGUGUUACUUGUUAUUUUCAUGUGAGCUUACUAAGCAUUUAUGCUUACUCCCUCCUUUUCAUUCCUUGUAGUGUUGACAAGCCAGCUCGGAAAUCGAGAACGGUCGGAGGCACACUCACACUAUCCGUAUACCAUCUUGGCAUAAUGGCUUGUAUAUUUUGAGUAUGGCAUGUAUAGCAUUAUAAUCAUUUUGUAUAUAUGGUCUUAUGAUAUGGUUAUUGAGUGGUAUGGAAAUGCUUGGUAAUGAUUAGCCAUUGGAAUGGCUAAUCAUGAUCAUAUUUGGUGUUAUGUAUGCUAAAUUGCUAGCUAAUCCAUAGAAACCAUGAAAUAGGUAAAAUUUACCAUAAAAUAGAUUCAGACAGCAACAGUGAUGUGAGUUUGAAAAAUCAUUAAAAAUAGUAGAGAUACAAUUACAUGAUGAAUAAAAUAUGGAAUUGAAGAAUUAUGAGUCUAUUUUCAUAUGGAUGGAACAAAACAGGUAUAUGAGUUAUAUUUUAUGAGAUGUUUAAAUUUUUGUGAAAUAGGUCCAGAGCGAUUUCUGGAUCCCCUGUUCUGACUUUGGAAAUUUACCAUAAAUUGUUCAAAGAUAAUUAUAAGUCAUGAUUUAUAUUUACAGAUUCCUUAUUGAGUCUAGUUUUAUUAGAAAUAAACGGCAUAGUCAUUGAAACUCUGUACAAGGAGAUAUCUGAUUCAUAAUACACAGAGGUCAGAGCAGUCGAACCCUGAAACAGGGGAGACUUUAACUAAUAAACUGUACUAAUUUGCUAGACCAAAAAUUCUAGAAAAAAAUCAGUAAAUAGAUAUAUGAGUCUAGUUUUAGGGAAAAUUUACGGAAUUUGAUUUCGAGUUUUGGAACUCGAGAUAUGAAUUUUUAAGCGACUGUGAUGCAGAUUGCUAGCUUGACUAAAAAUUUUAAAAAUAAAUUGUUUGAGCUGUUUAAGUAAUUAAUUAAGUCUGUUAACACCUCGUGUUCGACUCCGGCGACGGUCUCGGGUACGGGGCGUUACAAUCUUAUCCCUUAAGAUUUACAAUAUUCAUCAUGGUAGCUCUACUUUACUAAAAUGUUCCAUUAGGCCACAAAAACUUCAAAUAAAUGGACUUCUCCAUAUGUUACAUGAAUCGGACCAAUUCAAGUGGGUCAAAUGAGUCUCAUUUAAUCAAUGGAUCUCAAUGGGUUGUUCCAAUAUGCAUCCAUCACGGACAUUGAUCAGCGGUCCGUGACAAAAGUACCUACAAAGUCCUUUUAUUACAAAGAUUGAAUCAAAUUAGUCUUCGUACCAUUAAAUGUAUCAAUUUAAUCCAUCUAUUGCUAAAAAAAUUCAAAUAAGAUAAAAUUGUAAUGAAGCUAAAACUUUUUUGUUUAAAAAAUGAUAUGAAAUUUUUUUUUUGGGGAUGAUGUCAUAUUUGCUACUUGUACUUUUAUAAAAUAUCUAACGUGGCACAUCUACUUCCACAAAUUGUCCAAUGUGGUACAUGUACUUCCAUAAAAUGUCACCAUGGUACCUCUACAUUGGACAUUUUCAAAGUAUAAGUGUCUCAUUGGACAUUUUAUGAAAAUAUAGGUACCAUGAUAGAACACAUAUUAAUAAUUCAAGUAUCACAUUAAACGUUUUAUGAAAGUACAUGUACUAAUGUGACAUCAUCCCUUUUCUUAUUUCAAACUAGAUAUUUUAUUUGCAUAACCGUAAAAAACUUUAAAAUAUAACUUUAUUAUACAAUAAAUUACAUUUUCUAAACAAUAAAUGUUAAUUAUGUUUAUAUUUAGUAUUAUUUAAUUCUUUUUAAUAAUAUAAUAAAAAUUAAAUUUAUUCAUUUAAAAUUAAUUUUAAAAUUAAUUUAAUCCAAUCUCUAUAAUAAAAAAAAAAUAUGUAAAGUAUAUUCACAAAUUUAAUUAACAAGUUUGUCCAAAAGUUCGAUUUAUUACGUUUAAAAAUAACAUUAAUUUAUUUUAAGAAUUUUCAAUUAAAUAUAAACUGAAAAAUAUUUUUAUUGAGAGGGUUUUGCAUACUAAUAUUAAGCAAUUUUAAUUUGUUGGAUAUCUUUAUUCCUAGAGCUGUUUACAAGAUGUCCGACAGCGAUUUUUAACGGCUAGGAUUCAACUGAUUAUUCUGACAGUGGGCAACUUUGUCAUUUGGUUUAGCACAUCUAAUAUCCAAGCCGCCGAUUUUGUUCCCAUGCAUAGCCAAGCCGAUGACCGGUUGCUCCAGAAAAAGGAGAAGCAUGUGAAGUACACGUGUUUGAGAUCCAGCUGUCACAUAUUUUAUUAGGUACUAUUACACCUGUACAGACUUGUAUAAAUACCAGAUUUUGGUUAAAUACGUUCAUAAAUAUAUGUAUUUUUUAUUUUUAAUAAUAAUAUUUUAAUUUUACAUAAUUAAUGUAAAUAAUAAUCACUAAAAGAUAAAUAAAAUAUGUAUCAUGAUUAAAAAAUGAACAAUGGAAAAAAAAUAAUUAUAUUAUAAAUACAUUAAAUAAUAAUGUUAUUUUGGGUUCUAAAAUAAACUAUAUAUAUGUUAUCACUGUUGAGUAAUAUUAUUAUUUAAUGUAUUUUUUGCUUUUGACCUUUUAAAAAAAUGGAAAAGUAAAACUUUUUUGUAAGUCUCUUUUUGAUUGUUUUGUUUUUCUUCAUUGGCUCACAAUGUGUCGUGGCAUUAUUUGGUUGGUUGACGUUUUAAAUUUUGCCAGAAAUUGACAUGAUAGAGAGAUGUAACAAAUUGAUAGGCAAGAUAAAAAAUUCAAAUAUUACAUUAGAUAUUUUUAAAAUGAAGAAAGUUUACCAUUAUCACUAAAAUAAAUUAAGUUCGCUAAAUAAAUUUAUCAUCUAAAAAAUAUAUCAACUAUAAAUUUCAAUUAUUGAAAUAUAAAAUAAUUCUUGUAUGACAAUGAUCUCAUAUUCAAGCUCUAGUAAAUGUAUUUUAGUAUUUUUUAUAUUUUUUAAUUUUUUUUGCAAUUCUAUAAUUUUAUAAUUUUUUUCUAUUGUUUAAUAAAUUUUUUAUAAUUUUUAAAUAUUUUAAAGGGUUUUAGAAUGAUAACGUCACAACAACGUAAUUUAUAUGACAUGUGAUAACAUAUGAUUGAUUAUCUAGUUUUUUUAAUAUCAAUAGGACUGAACCAAGAGCAUUUGAUACCAUCAGGAUUAAAGUAGGUCAAAAAUUACUUUAAGGAUCAAAGUGAAAAAAGGAUAUACUUCAAAGACUAAAGUGUGUAUUAAGCCAAAAAAAAACCAUAGGUAUUACAAAUAAACAAUAUAAAUAUAUAAGUACUUUCACUAACAUAGAAUAUAAAAAAAUAUUGUUGAGGAAGUCAUACUCGUUUUAAAAAAAAUCUUUGAAAUGUCUUUCGUUGAAAGUUUAACCCUCAACGAUGGAGGUAUUGUGUAUGGGGUGUCUAUACUCAAUUUUAUCUUUUGAGUUUUCUCUCUAGACUUCGCGAAAAACCUGGACAUGUUCACAAAGUGGGAGCACCUCAUCCACCAAGGAAAUGUGAGCACUUAACCUUGGUGGGGGAUAUUUAAUCAUGGUAAUACUUGAGGAGGUGAGACUCACUCUAAAAGAUGUAUUUAAAAUGUCAUAUGUUGGGAGCAAAUGAACCCCUUAACGAUGGAGGUAUUGUGCCGAGGGUGUUUGUGCUCAAUUUUAUCUUUGAGUUUUGUUUCUCAACUUUACGAAGAGUUUUCGAUGGGCUCACAGAGUGAGAGCAUCUCGCCUACUAAAGAAAUAUGAUUAUUUGGUCAUAGUAGAGUUUAAACUCGUACCCUUACAUGGCAUUAGUUGGUAAGAAGACAAAUUUGAGAAACUAAACAUAAACAACCUACACACAAUACCUCUACUAUUGAGAGGUCUAUUAACUCCCGACGAACGAUAUUCUAAAAAUUUUCACAAUAAAUCCAACCUUCCCUCAAUAAAUAUAUUUUAGAAUUAAAUGAAAUGAAAUUAUAAAACAAAUUUGAAAAAUUAAUUUUCAGGUAGGAUUUAAAUACGGUAUUUAAGCAAGUCCACUUGGAACUUUCUUACAAAAUUCGAAAGAUUUUAUUAUUUUCAUCCAAAUAAAUAAAUUUAUUUUUGAAGUUUUGAAAUGAAUAAAUUUGAAAAAUUGAUUUGAAGUCCGCCCUUCAACCAGAUUUUUUCCCAAAGUGUGGGCCAUUACCCCAAUUCCUAACCUUACAUGCUCUUUUUGUCUUUUGGCCCUCAAUUUUGUUUUUAAUAUUUAAUUCUAAAUUGGGGUUUCUUAACAAAUUUAAUUUGGAUACAUUUUAUCUUUAAUUAAUAUACUAUUUAUAAUAUUAUUAUAUUAAUAAUCAUAAUAUCAUUCAUCAUUUCUGGUUCAUAUGAUAAACAUAUUACCUACAAAUUUAAUUCAUUACCUAACAAAAUACAUUUAAAUUUAAUCUUAAUUACAUAUAGAUCACAAACUUUGUAAUAUUCCACUCGUUCAAGAAUAUUAGAUUUUAAAAAAAUUAAAAUAAAUGUAAUAACUUAAUUUUUACCAGGCAUAAUAAUUUUAUAAAAUAAUAAAAUCCUUCUGAGCCUAACAUAGUAAUUUACUUGCUUAUGGAUAUUUUUUUACAAAGCAGAGCCAAGAGUGGUGUGUUUGCAUUAACUUCUUCCAGAAAUAAAUUCUUGGACACAUUUGUCUCACCUCAAUAUGUCAAGUUAUUUUCCCUCAAAAAUCGAUCCCAACAUGUUCUACUAAAUAAAGCAAAAGGCAAAAGGAGUAGUACUGGUUAAAGGCUUUGCUUGCUGUCCACUCAAAAUCAAAGUCCAAAUGUUCAUCACACUUUCACAUGCUCUAGUGGUUUUUGGAGAAACCCUUUUUAUUUUUCAUCUUUGAAUCACUCAUAUCUAAUUGCAAAAAACAAAGCCAAGUUUAGGGCACAUCAUAAAUAUAAUAAACAUUCAGAUAGAUGAGAUAAAAGGGUGACAUUCAUAAUGAUCCCACACAAGGGAGUGCCCUCUGAGCGUGCCCUCCCUAUAUAAAGUCAUAUUUAUCACUUCUCCCUCAAUAUGGAGAAUGAAAUUUCUCAUCUACGAUGACCACCGCCAUCACCAGACAAGGAGCGCUCUCUGCGCCUCCUAUGUAAGUCACGAUCAUCUCUUCUCCUACCAUAUGGAGAACGAGAACGGGAUCUCCCUCGUCUACCCCUUGAAUGAUAAUAUCUGUUGUUUUGUCGAGGUGAAUAGCUACGAGACCGUCUGUGGCCUUGUCCUGCGUAAUUUUGGCAUGUUGAUUAACAUAUAAGAAUAAAUGACAAGGGUGAAACUUGAAAACAUCAUAAAGAAUUUCCAAAAAAUGCAAUAAAAAAAAUACUAGUAUCCACCUCUUCUAUCUCGCACACCUUGAUACCUCCCAGGUGUCGGUGUUCUUCCUCGGGACCUUUUUGCCUGCAUUGUUAGCUCAAAAGUUAAAAUAUAGCAGAUACAGCGAGAACUGGUGAUUUACUCAAAAUAGUUAUUAUCAUCACAAACUGAAAAAAGUUCCCUACGUAGACUGAACCAUGGGUAGAGUUGCGAGGACUUAAAUAUUAAGUCUUCAGUUAACACCAAUCUCGGGUUUGAUUCCUGGACAACCACUAAACCAUUCCCCUUAUCCGAAAAUAAAAGACAGUUGCCUACAUUACAUGAUAUUGACAUACACAAGAGGUUUACAUAACCAACAAAAAAUUUCUAAAAUAUUACAAGCAUGCAAGAUCUUUAUUGUAAUGAAUAAGAUAGGAUAUUCACCUUCACGGAACAAGCAAGAAAAGACCAAAAAAAUUGAUGAAAACAUGCAUGUCAGGCGGGUAUUUCAAAAUUGAAAAAUAAUAAACAGCCUCUCCAGAUACUGUUACUGUUGUGGAAAAGGAAAAAAGGGCAUGCAACCUUCUGCAAAAUAGUGAGUUUGAAUCCAUGAGUUUGGAAUGUCGAUGCAGAACUCAUGUCGUGAGAGGGUACAGGUUGAACUGUUAAGAGCUUAGUUUUCGAUGAAGCUACACAUACAAGACCUGCUGCCAAAAUUUAUCAGGCAACACUUCGGAAGAAAGCAGAAGUUAAGAUAAAAUUCUAUGUAAACGAUUUAGCUUCGGUAUAGACUAACAAGUCGAUCCUUCGUAUAAAUUAAUACCUUUUCCACAGUGAUUAAUCGGCCUUCAAGCACUGAACGAUUCAGAUACUUGAUGCAGCGCUCUGCACCCUCAACAGUUUCCAUGGUCACGAAAGCAAAUCCACGAGAUUCUUUGGUGUGUGGAUCAGUAACUAGAUGGCACUCCAAAACCUGGAAGAAAAAUUCAUCAGAUCUAAAUCCUCCACUCACUUAAGAUCCUAAGGGAAUUCUUGUUAUAUUGAUUUAUACUUUUUUUUCCACUACCAUGGAGGUUCUUAAUGAAAACAAGGUUGAUGGUUCAUACUACAACUUGAAGCACAACCCCGAAAUUACCUCUUUAUCGAGAGACAUAAAAGAAAUUGAAGCACUUGAAAGAACAAAGCAUGUUGUCUCCAUAAACAAUCACUCCAUACCUUUCCUUCAUUGCCGAAAUACUUCUCGAGAUCACCGGCAGUAACUCUUGUGGAUAACCCAGUAACAUAUAAGUUAUUUCCUGGAUUGGAUGCAUCCUGAGAUUCACGGCUCCUGGGGCAAUAAAAACUAAAUCACUACAAACAAUUUGAACUGUAAAAGCCAGAUAAUACAUGAUACUAAUAUACUAAAACAAACAAAUAACUAAGCUUUCAUAUACCUAGACCUGGAGCGACUCCUACCAGACCUAGGCUGACGUCUUCUUCCCGGAGAAACCGACCUGAAAGUGUCAGUUUGAAGGAAAAUUCAAUUUACUUACAUCAAAACAAAAUGACCUAAAAGGGGGGGGGGGGAACUGACCUUCCUUCCCUUGAAUAUGACAUCUGCCAAUACAGCAAAAGACAAAUUCAAGAUUUUAAACACUAAAAUUAUCACUUCCUUACCUCAAUGAUUUUAAACAUUCCUUUCUUUUUAUAUUUAUUUUCAUUAUUUUCUUCACUAUCGGUCAUUUUCUCAGCAACCAAACAUAAUAGUUUUCAGCCUUUUAAGUGAUAAACAAUAAAAUAUUCAUGAUUCCGCUAUCAAUUACAUAAAAUUUAUGAGUUUUGCUUCUUGAAUCUUAAUUUUCAGAACAUGCAAAAAUAAAAAUCAUAACACAGAUUCAUAACAAUAAAAUCACUGAAAAUCCUUGGAAAUAGAGUAGAUUUAUUUCUUUAAAAAACGAUAUUUUACUAAACUGGCGAGGCUCUCUAAACAGUCAAAAUCUAAAAUUAUAAAGGAAUAGAGGAAUAAAAAUUGAAGAUUUACCUAUUAUGCUGAGAGAAUUGCUGAGUCAACUCAGAUGCCCCAACUCAGUAGGCUGGUCUAUGUUGAGAAACAAGGGAAUCCAUAAAUGAAUGGUUAAAUUAAAAAAAAAAACUCACUUUUUGUACAUAAAUUGAAAGAAAAAAAAGCUUAAAAGUAAAAAAAAAUCGCAAACGUUAAUGAUUAAACUUGGGCUUUUUUUGCAGCCUUGAACAAAGCCCAGCCCGUCUAAGAACUGUGCUUAAUUUUACUUUGUUGAAAUGUAUUCUAAAUUGAGUCUUUAACUUGAUUGGCAUGAAUAUUAUUAUUAAUGUAAAAUGACGUGGGUUUGAGUACACUGAAACGCAUUAUUCUCUUAUUUAUGGGUUAGGAAGGAGUUAUGAAUAAUUUUAAGUAUUCAGUAAAAGGUUAGGUAAUGGUCUUGGCCCUUAAAAUUGGUAGAUUAUUUAUUUAAAUUUAACAAUUAAAUCAUUAUGAUAAAUUUAUACGAAAUAUAAUUGAGAUAUCAACACAAACACAUGAAAAAAUAAUUAUACACAAUAUAAAAAUAGCAUGAACACAACAUAAAUAUAUCGACGUAUUAAAAUCCAUAUUAAAUAAGUUAUUUUUAUACAAAUAUAAUAUUUUAAUCACAUAAAAUAUAAUACAAAAGGUACUCAGUUUAACUCAACAUUGCAAAAAAAGAAAUCAUAUUAAUCAAACAAUAGUUUUUGGAUACAAUCAAUGUUAAUUAUAGAAGUAAAUAUCAAUUUUACACAUUAACUUAGAUUUAACGUGUAAUAUUAUAUAUUUAAAUUAUAUAUUUAAAAUUUUUAUUUUGAUUCACUUAUAAAUAUUUAAAAAUAAAUAAAUCCAAUAAUUUUCAUGUUAGGUAAAUAAAAAUUUUUGUAUAUGCAAAAAGUAAACCUAUAAAAUGAUAUACUAUAUCAAGUAUAGUGUUAAUGAUUUGUAAAAAUUAAAUUAAAAUUAAUAUUUAUGUAUUACAUUGCAUAAAAUCAAAUUUUAUGUAUGGAAUUGAAUAUUAAAUCAUAUUUAAUGAACCCACCUUUAAUUUAAUGAUAUUGAAAUGUGUCUAAAAACCAAAGCCUUUCAAAAGUUUUUUUUAUUUUUAUUUUGCUACUAUAACAUUUUUACCAUUAAAAUUAUCUUUUUACAUAUGCUUAUGUGUGAUUAAAACUGUUAUGGUAUUCACCUCUACUCAAUUCUUAGACCGGCACAACUUUCAUACCAACCCACAACCAAACCAGCAUGUAUAGCUCGUUGAUAUAUAGUUUGCCACUAAGUAGUUCGCUUGCAUGUGUUCGUAUCACCAUGCAGGUAAACCCUUAUUCAAGAAACACAUGUUAACCUAUACGUGUUGACCUGUAUGAAGACCUACUUAAUCUUAGUAUAUCAAAUCAUGGAACUGUAACAUAUAAAUAAGAAUUGGCUUUAAUGAGUACACAAAAAACACUCAACAAAAACAAACCCUUUCAAUUCUAAAUCAAACAAUUCUAACUAAGGAGACGACUUUUAAAGAUAGUUAUAGUUUGUAACAAGUAGUCGUAUUUCUGUAUACGGAGAAGGCUCUUCUUAUUUUAGAAUGAAAGGACUUUUGUUUGAAAUAUAUGAACAGUGAUAUUUCCUAGUGGUGAAUGAUAUACAAUAUUGGCAUUGAAGAACAUGCAAGACAAUGGCGAAUAGCAAGUUUUAACAAAGAAGCUUUACAUCCCAGAGCAUAUCAGCAGUUGUGUUUGGUUCACAGCUCAAAUUGAUAGCAGGAAAGGUUUGUAGUGAGACAUGAAAAUGGAAGUUGGUAAGAGACCCCAUCCUCACCAACACCACUUUUGAAUCUUUUGACGUAUAUAAAAGAGAAUUUAUGGGAUUCUUCCACUCUUCAAUAUACUAUUAGUUUCACUUCCCAACCAUUACCAAUAGCUAGGGUCUCUCUAGCAUUUGACUACUUUUUUAGCGACAUUCCCCUUGUAGCAUGAAUCUCUCUCCUUACCUUCUAUUUGCUGUUUUAGUCAUAGAAAAGCAAAAAAAAAGCAAAAGCGAAUCUUGUGUACGAGUAUACGUUUAAUAUGAGUAUAUUUUCAUUAGAAAAAACUUUCUUCAUCAUCAAGUCAUGAAAAAGGCAAAUCUGAGAAAUUUCCCUCUUCAUUUUCUUGAAAAAUUAUUGAGUUUAUUAAGCAACCAGGACUAGGUGGCAUUAUAACACAUCACCCAACAAAAGGAAUAAAAGACAAAGCAAAGUGGUAAAGUAGGGUUCUGAUUCUUUAUAGCAAAGAAAAAACAGGAAAUAAACAUCAGUUCAGUCAAGGUAAAAAAGGGAAGUAAUAUUAUAGAACAAAUUAUUAAAAACACCAUCACCCAAGAGCCAACAUCUUCCAUUUGUAGGGGAAACAUCAAGAGACUGUAAACACUUUAAUAGGCAGUAAAGUGGGGAGAAAUCACCCAAAGAUGCCGUUGUUUGAGUUCCAUACUAAUUACAGCAACAAUGGCAGGGAGUUUUGGUUUAAGCCUUUAAUAUCUUUACUUUUUAUAUAAACUACGUCUUCAACUAUUGGUAAUUUUUUUUUUUACGCUCAAUUAUUCAAUUCUGUCUUUUUUAGUCAACUGUUCUUCAAAGAUUAAUAAAAAGAUGACAACUUUUAAAAUUGACAUAAUAACAACUUUAAUCCUUAACAUUUAUACAUUGUGUCAAUUUAGUAUUAAUUCUAAAAAUUGUUUCAAAGAAAAACAAAACUGAAAAAGGAUCAAAUUACACAAUAUAUAAAUGUUGAGGGAUAAAGUUAUUAUUAGACUAAUAUUUUAAAAGCUACCAACUCAUUUUCCAUCUGCUAAUGAUUAAAAAAGAAAAAAUCGAAUAAUUAAAUAAUUAUUUUAUAAAUAAUUAAAUAACUCAAAAAAUAAAGAAACUUGCCAAACAGUUGAAUGUCUAGCAAAGUAGUUUACCCUUAUUUUUUCUGAAUAUUUAUGUUGUUUACCCAAAGUUACUUUCAUUAUCACUGGCAUGAUAUCUUGUAAAGUAAAAUGAAAAGGGUUGGUCCAUUCAACCAAUCAUAUCCCAUUCAUGUGCAUACUUAUGAUAUGCUAAUAUAUUUAAUAGUUGUGGCAAAUAAGUAUAUAUGUAGCCAACAAAAGCCCUUUUCUGCAUAUUUAGGGCCAUUUGAUUCUAUUCUCAGCAUCCCAAAAGAAAGAAGUUCCUUUUUUUUGUGUGUGUGUUUAAAGUUUCUAAUAAGUCCACAAACCAAUCAUCUAAAUAACUAUAGCCUGCAAUGCAAUGAUAUGAUAUUGAAGAAGUGGCUUUUAAGAAUCUUUUUUUUCCAAUAUUGAGUUGGUCAAAGUGUGCAUAGAAUCUUCUCCUUUUUAGUGCCUCUCUCCCUAUAUAUAAACUAUAUAUUAUUAUGAUUUUUUUUUUUUGGUGUUUUCCUCCCCCCAUUAAUGUGGGUGGUCUAUCUGGUCUCUCAUUCAUUUUUUUUUUAAUCCUGCAAGAAAAUGUUUGAUCAUAAAUCCUAAAUACUUGUCGUUCUCUAGUUGAGCAGGUGAAACUAAAGAUCUUCAAGGGUAUUAAAAGUCAGUAAUAACUCAAUGUACUUUUACGGGAAAGCAGAGAUCUUCAGCUUUAUUAAUUUUUAGGGUAAAUUACACGGAAUUACUAAAAUAUUAAUAAAUCUCUUUUUUAUCACUAAUUAUAAAAAAUUAUAAAAUAGUCAGUUAAUCUAUUAGUAUUUUUUUGUCACUUAAUUAUGAAAAGUUAUAAAACAGUUAUCCAAUUAUCAAUUUUGUCUUUUUUGAUCACCGACAGGCUAAUAGUAGUAGCUUUUAAAAUCGGCAUGAUAGCAACUUUAACAUUCAACAUUUAUAAAUAAUGUCAAUUUAGUCUUGAUUUUUUUUUAAAAAUUAACCUUAAACAUUUACACAUUCUGUAAUGUUGUCUUUUUUUUUUUUGCUUUUCUUUAUAACAUUGAGGUUUAAUUUUAAAAGAAUGAGAAAAGAUGAAAAAUAUUUAUUGGAUUUUUGGGUGUUCUAUUUUUUAUAUAUUUUCAAUUAAAUUUAAUUGAUAAAUUUUUCUUUUUAGUUUUUUAGGUGUAAAGGUCAUAAAGAGUUAGAGGAUAUUGUAAGUAGCUGUAAUUAGUUUGUUUUGGUUGUUAGCCUUUCUGUUAACAUAUUAGUAUAAGUAUGUGGCUUAGUAGAAAAUGAAAAAUAAUGUAAAAUUUCAUUUUGACAAUAUUUCAAAGAAUUACUUUUUUCAAAAAAAAAGCAAAAUUACAAAAAAUUACCUAAUUACACCAUGUGUAAGUCUUGAGGGUUAGAUAUUUUUAGAAUCAAAGCUAAAUUGAUACAAUAUAUAAAUGUUGAGGGUUAAAAUUACUAUUAUGCUAAUUUUAAAAAUUAUCAUUCUUAAUCAGAUUGUGACAAAAAAAAAUACUAAUAAUCAGAUGAUUAUUAAUGUAAUUUACCCUUAUUUUUAUCGGUUGUUUUAGAAUUUGGUACUGUUAGUUUCAUCUUUGAAUUAGCAGCGCUAUGGAAGAACCUUUAUUGAAGUUCUAAGAAAAAAGAAGCCAUUGCCCUUUUGAUGACUUUAAAAAUAAGAAGAUUAUAGUUUAAUUUCUAGCUUCUGAUACAAGGAGCUGCAAGCUGCCAUUGCCAACCAGUCUAAUUCUCUUUGAAUUCCCAUUUUUCAAAAUAUAAAAUGCAGAGGUAUAAAUUCCAGAUAUAACUAUAAGCAUUAGGUUAAAGUUCUUGAACUAUAAAUAUCAUUUACAGCCUUGAAUUUCAGACCCUCCAUAUGAAUUACAAUCAUCAAAGGCUUUUCCAUAGGCUAAAUCAUUAUAGACCCUGAAUUUGACUACACUAAAUAGAGUUAAAAGCAUUUGAUACUAUAAACUAAUCCUCUACCCUUGGACUUGGAAAUUGCUUUGACUGUUAUUUUAUUGAAAGAUAUUUUUAAGUUCUGUUUUUUUUUUCUAUUCAGGAAAAUAUAUUUGCCUUUCCUUUUCAUUGCCUUUUUUUAAAGGUUUUUUCCUUCUUAAUUACUUUGUUUCCUUUCCUGUCUCAUUCAUUAGAUUGUAUUUCAUAUUCUUUAUUAAAAAAUAGUAAAUUAGUUUAUGGACAUUAGAUUAAAAAAUAAAUUGAUAUUUUUGUUAAAAAUUUCAAUUAUUUUUAUUAUUAAAAAUUAGAGUAAUUAACGGAAUAAUCAAAUAGUUAUAUGUGACAUGGCAUAUGUACCUCAUAUUGACAUAUAAGGACUAUUUUUUAACGAUGAAAAUGAAUGAUAUUUUUAACAAAAAUAAUCAGUUUACUUUUUGAUCUAGCGGUUUUUAAUAAAAAGAUACAAAAAAAUCUAACUCAUAAUACAAGGACCUUCAGAAUAUUUUUAGGCUCGAAUCUUCUUUCAUGUUAGCACCUCUAAGAUAUAACAUCCAAUGGAUUUAAAAUUCGAAGUUUCACGUCUGGAAUUUCUUCUUCUAUCCUAUACUGUUAUGGAUUUAUAUAAGGGCAUUUUUAUGUUGGUGAACAACCCUUUUUGUUUGUGUGAACAAUUCAACAUUCUGUGAUGAACAUUGAAGGGCAUAAAUAUACAUAGAAAAGGGAAGAUACCAUUUCUCUUUAACCAAACAUUUAGACAAAAAAUGUAGCAUAAACCCUCCUAAAAAAACCUACUGGCAAGUGACAUAUUCCAAUGAAGAUUACCCUUUUUUGGUAACCGAUCACUGUAAUUCUUUUUAUAGUAAAAAAAGAAGAAGAAAAGUUUGCAAGUUGCAGAACAGUUUCUGUAUUGAUUUUGAUAGGAAUUGGUAAAGAUUAAUCAAGUUCUCUUCAAGUUGUUAUAAAAUGUUCCAUAAUAAGGCUUAAAAAAACCAAAUGCACCUUUAAACCAGAGGAACACAUGGAAUUUGAGACUUUUGAUCAACAUGUUCAAUAUUCUGGUAUUAAAUUCUAACACAAUUUACCAAGCCAGUUAACUUGAACAAGUUCAUUAAUUAAACAGAUUUUCAACCACCAACAUAUGUUUGACCCCCAUAUUUUAUCUUCCAAUUUUUUUAAAGUAAUGGAUCCAAUUCAACAAGUGAAGAUGCUUGACAUGAUCAUUAAAUAUACAUAUAUAUUAUUCAAACCUUUCAAAGUGUUAUUGAUUAUGGGCACUUCACAUAAAAUAUGUUAUCAUAUAAUAAUAUUAAAUAUGAAUUAUUAAGUUUUUAAGAUAUUAAGUUCGAGUAUUGGGGAUGAAAAUGCUUUUGAUAAUAUGUAAAAAUAUUUCAAACUCAAUAUAAUGGCUGCAGUUAUUCACACUAAUUAGAAAUUACAAUUAUUUCUUACUCUAAAAUGGUAGCCAUGGCGAUUAUCCUAAAGAUACUAGAAGGCUAAAAAAACUAAGGUUUUUUCCCACACUAUCAGAAGUAGCCAUGGUGGUAUUGAAAUUGAUUUUGACAGAAACUGUUCAUAAAAUCUCCUCUUGCUAGUGUUUCAUCAUCUUCAACCUCAUGCAAUACCUGCAAAAUGAAGCAAUAAAAAAAAUGAGAUAUUUACAUUUUACAUGCACUUUUAGUAUCCAAAAUAUAUGAAGUAAAAAUCGUUUUAAUGGUGUAUUAGAAGUACCCAUAAAUCAUCUUCCUCUUCAUCUCUGGUUGAACAUGCAGCUUUGGGAAUCUCAAUAGCUUCAUCGUUGCGUGCGAAUCUGCCACGUAUACGAGGACGGCUGUCGGCUAGUGUUUUGCGGCAUGCAUACUUUAACAUCAAACAUAAAACCAAACCAUGUUUAGAAGGGUUUUUAAAACACAAUGGAUCCAAUUAAUGUGGUCUCUAAAUAAAUCAAAACCUUAAUUGUUUUGUUGAAGUUCCUUUGAUUGCGCUUUGCUCUGUACUUGGAAAUCCUUUCUUGUCUCUCUUCUGGGUUGUAACGUCCUACUUUAAAGGGUGUUUGUGCUUCCUCAUAUGACUUUUGGUUCAUAUUCUAAAGCCAAAGGAACAAAACAAGAAUCGAUCCCCAUUAGGAAAAAAACAGAGCAAGAAACAGGGAACAAAACGAAGUAACAAACCUCUAAAUCUCCAUUGCAGGUGUUUUGGGGCAUGCUCAAAGCUUGACCUUGAAAAUUCUCUGACGCCACGAGAGGAUCAAAACAAGGUUGAAAUGAAAAGUUUCUUCGCAAGUACUUUGUUACCUCUUGACAUUCUUCAUUUUUAAGUUCAAAGCCAUUCAAGUUGUUGAAACUUUCUUCAUACCCCUGUUCCAAAUUCGGACCAAAUGACAAACAAGACUGGAACUGGGUUCCAAGUAAUUGGUUUUGGCAAGUGGGUUGAUGAUCAACAACUGGGUUUUCUUCUGGGGUUUGUUUAUUGUUCAAUAAGGCUUGAAGAUUAUUAUAAUCUAAUGAAGAAUCGUUGAGAGGAAAGGAAGGAAGAUCAAACAAUGAGUGAUAAUCAAUGGUAUCAGUGGAAACCAUUUCUUUACUGUAGAAACCAAAAACAGAGCAAAGAGGAAAAAUAAAGGAAAGUUUUGGGUUGAUUUUACUUAUUUUUCUGUUCGGCCAAGAAACGGCCAGAAUGCAUAAGGUGACAAGGCUCAGGCACUGAGUUAGUUUAUUAACGUCUUCGACAUUAUUACAUGGAAGAACAAGACAAAGGGUCUCGGGUCUCGCCCUUGGAACAACAGCAUUUAUAUGUAGGACUGGAGAUGGAAUAUAUGUAUGUGUAGAAUUUUGAGACGUUAAUCUAAUAUACGAACGAACCCUUUAUUCGAACAUGUUGGGAAACUAGACGUAAAUGUGGCCCAAGUUGAAGCUAUGUUUCGGGCAAAAGGAGACUAUAACAAGAUCAAGGUGUACCCUUGCCGAAUGCCCCAAGGCCCAAACCAUUGUCGUCUAAGGCAGUAAGUAAGCUCCCUGCCUCCAAAAUAAUCAGUUUGAUGAUAAUCAGAUUAUCAAAAGUUCGAAGACAAAUAUUUUAAGGAAAAAUUAUCAUCAAGGUUACUAAAAUAUCAGUAAGUUUAUAUUUUAGACACUCAACUUCAAAAAGUUAUAAAAUGAUUAUUGAAUUAUUCAAAUGUUGUCAUUUAAGUCAUUGGGUUGUUAAAGUCGUUGUUAUAUGACCUUUUUUGUUCAUAACGCUUGCACCAAUCGAAAGAUUUUCUUUCCUUUCUCUUUUACACUUCAUUUUAUUUUCAUGAAACAACUUUGAGCGUCAUAAAUCGGCAAACCAAAAUCCAACAGCUUUCUUCUUCGAUCUCCAACCAUAACUAUCAGAUUGAUUUGGAUAUAAGAUUUGUUCUUUUACUCGUCGAUGAAUACUAAUCGUCGAAUGAUCCUUGGAGCUCACUACUUAAACUUUUACAAAAAAAAAAAACUUAACAACCUCAUGAUUUAAAUAAAAAUUUUCGAAUAGUUCAAUGACUUGAAUAAAAUUUUUUAAAUAGUUUAGUGAUCAUUUUAUAAUUUUUUUAAAAUUAAGUGACCAAAAUGUAAAAUUACCAGUAAUUUAUAAAGUGAUUCCAUACAAAUCAAAACAUCAAAUUAUUAUUACAUCAACAUAAAAAAAUAGACAUCUAGAGAUUUGAUCUCAUGCCAUCAACAUCUUAUAAAUCUUUUUUUAUCACUUCAACCAAUGUUUACAAUUUUUUUUAUUUAAUAUUUUUAUACAUUUCAAUUUUAUUACAUAAAUUGUCCAUUCACAUUAUUUGAAUAUCUAUACUUAUUAUUAUUUAAGUGUGAUUAAGAUAAUGUCACAGCCAACUCAACACCAACUCGAUUAAUAAAAUUACUAAAAUAAAUUUACAUACUUUAAAUAAGUUAUACAAUUACGAGGGUACUUUUCUCCUUUUUCUUAUUUAAAAAAAAUUACAAGUGUUGAGAUUUGAACCAAGCCAUCAACGUUUAAAAAAUAUUUUCUUUAACACUUCAACUAAAGUUAUAAUAUAAUAUUUUUAUAUUUUUCAAUUUUAUUACACAAAUUGUUUUGGGUACAUUAUUUAUAUAUAUACUAUUAUUUAAGUGUGUGAUUGAGUUUAUGGCACAAGCCAACUCGACACCAACGCGUCAAUCCACGUGUAUGUCUGGUAGCAAAAUUAACACGUUAACUUUUCUAUUUAUUUUUAGGUGAUUUGAUAAAUAAUACAAAGUUAAAAAAUAGGAAAUAUGAAAAAAUAAUUAGAAAGCUAAAACUAUUUUUUUACAAAGUUAGAUGGUUAAAAAAUUAGACAUUAAUUCUCAAUACAAGGUUAAAAUAUCAACAAAAUCAUUCAAAAUUUCAAAUCAUGAUACUUUUCAAAUACCCUUUAAAUCUUAUUAUAUAAAUCACAAAUUUAAAACAUAAAUACGAAAAUAAUAAAUUAUGCAUAUUAAAUUUAAAAUGUAGAAAAACUUAAAAAAAUAAAAAAUUGGUCGACUGGUAAAUAUUAGAUGUUAUUAAUUCAACUGGUGUAAGUUCAAAUCUCAUCAUAUUUAUUUUUUAAUAUUUACUGGUUUUUGUUAAAUAAAAAAAUUAAAGUGCCUUCAAAUAAUAUAAUUUAUUUUAUUGUAGAAGGACAUUUCCGUAAUCUUCCUAACCACAUUGAUGUAUGAUAAAUUUAUUUUACAUACGCGUGUGAAAGUAUUUAAAACACAAAUGUAUGUCUAAAAUACUCACGAAUAAUAUAAUUUACUUUAAAUACGGAAUGUCAUUUUUUAAAAUUUCUUAAUCGAGUUGGUACCUGAUUGACUUGUGACACUAACUCAAUUAACAACAUUAUUCAUAUAUAUAUAUAUAUAAAUUUAGAACAUAAAUAUUCUUAUAAAAGUUUCAAAUGAAAACUAAAAACUGCUUUAGUUUAAAUGAUAAAUAAAAAAAGUUUUAUAUGCAUUGAUUCCUUUGUCCAAAUCUCAUUAUCUAAAUUUUUUUAUUAAUUUUAUAAAAUAUAAAAAAACAAAAACACCCACAUAAUCGUAUAACUUACUUUGCAAAUAAAAAUAUUUUUUGAUAAUUUUCUAAAUGAGUUGGAACUCGAAUGAUGGUGAAACUAAAUCAAUAAAAGACUUAAUAAAUAGUAUAGAUACAAAUGUAUGAAAAUUUAGAACACAAAUGUAUAUGGCAUAAUGAUUUAUUUGGCCCUCAAACUUUACAAAAAAAAAGUCAUUUAACCGUUCAUUUAAAUUUUUGCCUCUUUUUACCAUUGAACUUACAUUAUUUGUCAAAACACCCCAAAAUGGAUAAGAAAAUUAAUUUUUGUUAACUUUGCUGACAUUAGACCUGCUCAUGGGUCGAGCCACCUGGCUUAGCCCAAAAGCCCGCCUAAAAUGUGAGAGGGCUUAGGCAAAAAUAUAGGCUCGAAAAAUGGGCUUGGACAUAUUUUUAAAAUUUAUUUUCAAUUUAUUAGGAAAUAUUUAUUUUGGUAUUUUUAGUAUUUUUGAUGUAUAUAUUUUAAAAUUAUAUAAAAAUUAAUAUGGGCGACUGGGUCAAGCCUGGAUUUUAGCAUUUUUAUUAGGGUCGGGCUUGGGCAAAAUUUUAGGCCCAUUUUUUUGGCCGUGCUGAGCUCAAGCCGAGCAAACGGGCCUAAAGUUUUAGUUGUGUCUGACCCAAACUCGGCCUGGCCCAUGCACACCUCUAGCUUAUAUGAGACACACGUGACUUAUCACAUUAGCAAUUAGUUAUUGUUUAAAAACUUUAAAAUAUAAAAUAUAUAUAUCUUUGAUAAUCUUUUAAAUAUUUUUUUUAUUUUUUACAAAUAGUUUUUAUAAUUUUUUAAAUUUUUAAAAAAUCAAUUAAUUGUCACAUGAAAAUCCACAUGCAUGCCACAUUAUCAAAGUUAACAAUUCUUAACUUUUCUAUUCAUUUUAGGUAAUUUGACAAACAAUACAAGUUUAAAGGCUAAAAAAAAAAUUAAAUGGAGAGUUUUUUUUUUGUAAAAUUGGACGGCUAAACAAGUCAUUAUGCCAAUAUAGAUAUAAAAGUUUCAAAUAAAAACUUAAAAUUGACUUAAUUCAAAUGGUAAAUGAAAAAGUUUUAUACACAUGGUGUCCUUAGUUCAAAUCUUAUUAUGAAUUUUCUAUUGAUUUAUAAAAUACGAAAAAAAGCCCUCAUAUUCGUAUAACUCACUUUGCAAAUAUAUAUAUAUUUAAUUUCUUAACUAAGUUGAGACUCGGUUAGUGGUGACACCAACUCAUUAAAAGGCUUAAUAAAUUGUAAGUAUAUAGACACACAACUAAUGGAGAUAAUAAAUUUUACAUAUUAAAAUAAAAAUGUAUAAAUUAUAUUAAAAUGAAGUUUUGGCUUUGUAUUUAAUUUAAAGUUUUAGUAAUCCAAUUAGUAUUGUAACAGCCAAAUUUUUCAGUGGUGUCGGAAACAGUGAUUCGAGAUCACUAAAUCCGACGAGUAUGUUUAGAAAUUUUAACAAAUAAUAAUUAUAGGCCAAGUGCGAACUUAAAAGAAUUAUUUUUAAUUAGUGAAUUUUACGAUUUUAAAAGAAUUAAUCAGGUAAAUUUGGUUGAAAACGAGGUAUCGAGACCUCGAAUUUAUAAACCGAGCCAUAAAUAUUUUUAUAAAUAUUUAUGGAGUGUUAUUAAGUUAUUAUUAAAGUUUCGUUAGAAAAUUUUAACGUUUGGUUAGUCAAUUAAUUAAAAAGGACUAAAUUGAAAAUAGUGUGAAAUUUAUUAAAUUGUGAUUAAAUAGUUUAAGUGAUUCAAAAGGAGGGAUUUAAAAGGAAAUUGGACCCAAAUUGUAUGGGCUGGACGGGUGGGCAAGAAAAUCAGCAAAAAAGACAAGGAGAAACAAGGGCAAAAUGAGAAAUUUUGCAAAUUAAACAUAUAAAACAAGACAAAUUUGAAAAAUCUAGAGAUAUCAUCAUUUUUCUUCAGCAAAAAUGCCAUGGGAGGUCUGAAAGCUGCUGGUUUUUCAUACUUUGACAUAUGUGAGUUCAAUUCUUACCCUUUUCUUUGAGAUUUUUAUGUUUUUGUGACUUUUACAAUUAGGUCCAAGUGUUUAAUUCAUUAGUUUUUGAUUUUAUGAACAAAAUUAAAAGCUAUCAUUGAUAAGUGUUAGCUGUUUAUGAUGAAAUAAAAUGAAUUUUAAGCUUUGAUUUUGUUGUUUGAUGAUUUUAUCAAGUAAUUUCAAUAGAAAUUGAUUUUAGGACCUAAUUGUGAAAAAGUUGUGAAUUAAGGUUUAGUGUUAAAAUUCUGAUUUUUAAAGAUUGUGUAAUAGUUUAGAAUGAUGGAAUAAAAUGUUAAUUGAGAAAAAUUAGCUUAAUAGAUGGGCUAAUUGAGCAAGGACUGAAUUGUAUGACCAUUGAAAUUUAGAGGAAAAAUGGUAAUAAACAUCUUGAACUAAAACAAUAUUGGACAGCAGAAGUAUACUAACUUUGAAAAAUCACCAUAAAUUUUAGAAAUCGAAUUAGAAGAUGAAUAAAAUAUGAAAUUAAAACUUAUUGAGUCUAGUUUUUUAUAGAAGAAACGGUGUAAGCAAUGGAUUUGUAAAUUAUGAGAUAUAAUGAAUUUUGUGAGACAAUGUUAGAAUGAAUUCGGGUUCCCCUGUUUUGACUUUGGAAAAUCACAAAAAAUUGGAGAAAAUUAAUUAGAGUCUCAAAUUUAUAUGCUUAGAAUCCUUAAUGAGUCUAUUUUCAAUAGAAAUCAAUGGGAACAUUAUCCGAGUUUUGUACUAUGAUAUAAUUAAUUUUUAGUAAAGAGAGGUCAGAACUGUUGGAUAGUGAAAUAGGGGAAACUUAAAUGAAUAAAAUGUACUAAUUGGCUAAACCAAAAAUUCUUAAAAUUUUAUGGUGGAAUUAUAUGUGAGUCUAGUUUUAGGGAAAAUUUACGGAUCUUAAUUUUGAGCUCUGUAGCUCGAAUUAUAAAUAAUUGAGUGACUAUGACUCGUGUGAACGGAUUGAUGUGAGCAUUAAUAAGUAAAUUAUGAAAUCGUACUUACAAGAAUGUUAUAUACAUUAAGGAUGUGGAAUGGAGAUGAGGAGGAGGAAAAAAUAUAUAUGAAUAUUCAGUUAGCAUGGCUAAUUUGCAUGUUUUAAGCUCAUGGACUAAAUUGAAUAAAAGUAAAACUUUAGGGGGUAAUUUUGUAAAAAUGUCAAAAAUGACUAAAUUGAAGGGAAUAAAUUAUUUUAUUAUCUAAAUUAAUAAAUUAAAUGAAAUUAUCAAUUUAAGAUUGGGUGAAAUUUGAUAAAAUGGUAAAUUACCAAUAUGCCCCUAAAUCUUGGUAUUUCUGUAAUUUAGUCAGGUAGGUUCGGAUACCCUGAAUGAGCAAGUAAAUAUGACAAUUUAAGUAUUGUAUUGUAUUUUAUAUGAUAUUUUGAAUUGAAUAUAUGAAAAGGAUGUUACAUGAAACAUGAAAAUGAAUACUAAAUAAUAUAAAUUAAUUGAAAUUAUUAUGAAAAUUUUGGUAAUGCCUCGUAUCCUAUCCCGGUCCCAGGUACGGGUAUGGGGUAUUACAUUUAAUGGUUCCAAAUAUCAUCAUACGCAUAUUUUAAUUUUUUUAAAUAAAAAACUAAAAUUACCUCGAAUAAUAAUUUUUUUAAUUAUGAAUGAACAUUUCCAUAGUUUAUUGAUUAAGCUGGCGACCCAGUUGAGGGUGCUACAAAAUUAACAGAACACUUAAAAUAAUAGUUUAGAUUUUUGAAAGGACAUUUUCAUAAAUUUUUGAUCGAGUUGGUGACCCGAUUGAGGGCGACACAAACUCAGUAAAAGCUUAAAUAAUAAUAUAGAUACAAAUAGGAAAUUAACAGGGAUAAUAAAGUCUGUAUAAUAAAAUUAAAAAGUAUAAAAAAAUAAAAAAAAGAAGCUUUAGUGAGUUGUAAAUUUAAAAUUUCUACAGUGUAAUUUGCAUGGAUUCAAAUAUCACAAUAUGCAUAUUAUUAUCGUUUUUUUAAAUUUAAAAUGUUUAAAUACCAUCGAAUAAUAUAACUUAUUUUAAUUAGGAAAUCUCAUGUUUUUUUAUAAUUUCCCAAGGUCACUUUGACAUCAACUUAAUCAUGGAUUUUUUAUUAUUAGUAUAAAUAGAUUUGAAACCAAUCUCUUUAUUAAAAAAGGUCUUAUUGUUUGACCUAAUCAAAUAUUAUCUUCAAAUAUAAAUGAUUAUACAUCUAUGGUAUCAGCAGUGAUUACAGUUCAAUAAAAUUGUUUCAAAUGAUUGUCAUAUGUUCACGAUAUAAGUAACAAUUACAGUUUAACAAAAUAAAUUAUGUACGAUACGCAUGAUUGGACUCAAACAUAUGCCUUGUAGCAUAUCAGAUAUUAAUGAUCGACAAUGCUAAGCAUCCAUGAGAAGUUUCUACUAUGUAAACACAUUGAAUUUUAAAAUAUUUAUGUUAUCAACAAAAUUGAAAUAUAAAGCUUUUAACAUUUGAAAAGUACUAGUAGCUUCUAUCGAAAGAGUAAGAAAUUCUUCAUGAGUUUUAAUGCUACUAAUUUUAUAUUAUUUUCUUACGCGAAGAAAAUUCGAGGAAGACAACUAAAAGAGAGGAAAACUUUGGAGCGAAGCCUUUAUUGGUAGGCAUAUAUAGUUGAAUAAAUGAUGUAAGACUUUAGGGCCGUCUAUAUUUAAAACGACAAUUUGUAGUCUCAAUGUUAUUUAUUUAAUUAUUUCUAAUAUUUAUUAAAUAAUUCAAAUUGAAAUAUUUAUCAUGUUAUUGGUGAAAUGAAACAUUUAUCAUUAAAAUACCUCUAAUUGUGAAUGUUAAGUUUUAAAUAAAUUGCAUCCACUUUAUAUAACAAUAAAAUGACAUCCUUGUCCUUGCCCCAAAAUUAUAAAAAGAAUUUAAAUUCAUAAAUUUAUUAAACAUAAAUAACAUAAAGAAAACAUUUUUGUAAUUCAAUAGCCAUGAAUGUGGGGAAUUUUUUUGAAUAACCAUAAUCAUUACUUUGAUACUUUUUCUUUUGGAGAUAUGUAUAAUUAUAUAUAUGUAUUUACUAAUUUAAUUUACAUUAAAGUAAUUAAAUGUGAUUUAAAGUAAAGGUUUUUAUAGGUUGAGUCGAAUCUAAGCAUAUAUAUUUGUUAGUUUAAUUUACAUUAAUGUAAUUAAACGUGGUUUAAAGUAAAAGUGUCCAUAAGUUGGGUCGGGUCUAAGCAUGAUAUUAAUAUAUUUUAUGUUUAUCUAGACCCAGUUUGCUCGAAAUAUGGUCUUAAAAUUUUGCCCAAACCGGUUCAUGUUUUUUUAUUUUUUUCUAAAAAUAUUUAUAUUAUGUUAUUUUAAUAUUUAACAAUUUUAUAAAUUUUUUAUUUAUUGAAAAUUUUUUAUAUAGUCAUCUUAAUAUUAGAGUAGUAUUAUAUAUUUUAUAUAGGUUUAUUUUUUAAUGUGUUCUAAAUUACAUGAUAUAUAAAAAUAACAUAAUAUAAAAUAUUAUAAAUUUAAAAAUUGAUCGGGUUUGAGUCUUGAAUGUUUAUACUUGAGCUCUACUCAUAUUUUAAACGAGUCUAAUUUUUUUACCAAAACUUAUUUUUUAGGCCUAAUAUUUUUUCUCAAAUUGUUCUAAAUUUUAGACGAAUAAUUGGACCCAUGAACAAGAAUAAUUUAAACCAAAAAAAGUAAAAUUUAAAUCACAAAAAUUAACAGCGUUAAUAGAAUAACCGCGGUCAGCAAUUAAGGCAAAUCACGUUAUUUUAUUCUCCAUUUCCUUGGGCGUCUCGAUUUAAAAUUGAAAUUUUAUUAAUUAUUUCCUUUAAAUUCAAAAGUCUUUCUUAGUCUUAAUGACUUGGUAUUUAAGAUAAAUCUAAACUGAAAAACAAAAAGCCAACGCCAACGCCAAAGCCAAAGCCAAAGCCAAAGCCUGCCAUUGACCCUUAACAAUUCAUUCAUCAAAAAAAGCUUUUCCUCUUCCAUUUUCCAUUCCAUUUUUAUUCUGCGCUCUCUGUUUCUGUGGUUGUGUUUUAGGGUUUGAGAGAUCAUGGCGUCGCAAGAAUACUUGGACAAGAUGAAGGUCCGUCAGGAGUAUCGGAAUCUCUGGCACACGGAUCUCAUGAGCACCAUUCAACGCGACCCUCCUUGUAGUUCUUCCUUCCUCUCUUUCUUUCUCUCUGUGUUUUUGUGUGUGUUUGUGUUUUUAAAGUUUGAUUUAUUGUUUAUUAAUUUCAAUUUUGCAGAUUGCUGCUUGGCUUUUUGGUGGUAAGUAAUUCCGAAUCUUUUUUUUUGUUUGUUGUAGAUCUGAUUCUGACUCUGCUGAAUUUUGUGUUUUCGAUUUUUUCUUUUGGUUUAGUUAGCUGCAAUAAGCGCUGUUUUUUUUAUUUGUGAUGGUUUAGGGUUUAAAGAUCGAGACGUGGUGACUGGAUUGACCUGGUUGACUCUGCGUGAUUUUUAUGUUUCUGUUUUAAUUUGGAUGCCUAAAUGUCUUUCCUAGAAUGCCUAAUUUUGCUGCUAGUGUUUUGAUUUCUUAAUUCUAUCACUUACACUUUCACCGUGGAAAUUGAAAAUACUCGCUUUUUGCUUGGUCUUCAUUUCUUUUAGCCUCUAUACUAGUAAAUUAUGUGCAGUCUUGUGCAAUAUGUUGAUGAAUUUUCUCUUUCGCUCAACCUUUUGGAAACAUCUAACCUUUAAUUUCUGUCUCCAAAAUACAUUGCUGCUUUUGUUUUACUGCAGUGGCCCAUGUGUAUCCUACAUGCUCCGGAAACGAGCUCUUUAUAAUGACAUGUCAAGGUGAUCGAUGCAUUUGGUCCCUCUUUCAUUACAAGUUUAUGAAGUGAUAUCUUGGUUUAAACAUGUCAUUUUGUUUUUGUUGUAGGUAUACAUGUUGUGCUGGUUAUAUGCCAUGCAGUGGUAGGUGUGGUGAAAGUAAAUGUCCCGAGUUUUGCCUUUGCACUGAGGUAGGAAGUUUGUCUAUAUGGUCUCUAUUGCUGUCUUUUUUCUUCAACAUGCAACUUAAUUUAUAAGCUUACAGACUUGGUUCCCUACUCCAGACUACCCACAAACUAUAGGAAUAUUAGUGAUACUGAGAUUGAACUGAAUAUACAAAAACCUACAGGGUUUUAAAGAUAAACCAUGUCCAAUUCUGAAAAUUUGGUAAAAGAUCUAGCUGUGGGGAAAACAAUCCUUAGGCGCAAAAACACGUCCAAUCUGGGAAAGGAGAGGGUGGAAGGGACAUUGUAUUAUUUUAUAAAGCGCAAUGUUAAAAUCGUCUAAAGAACCUACUUUUUCGUGAUAGGCAUAUAACUUUUUGUGUGGUUUUCUUUCAAGAUAAUUUGUAAGUUGGUGUGCCAGUUGCAGUGAGCUUCUAUUCGUAUCUUGUUAUCAUUUUCAUAUAAUGUGUUUGUCAUUUCCAGGUUUUCCUCUGCUUUGGAAACUCCGUGGCUUCAACCCGGUUUCUGCUGCAAGAUGAAUUCAACAUUCAAACAACAAAAUGUGACAACUGCAUCAUUGUAAACUAUCCCUUUCUACACUUAAUGUAUAUCAGUAUCUGUAAUUCCAUCUGAUGUCCUUGGCCAAUGAUUAAACAUAUUGUCACUUAAUAUACAGGGUUUCAUGUUUUGCCUGCAACAAGUUGCCUGCAUAUUUUCCAUAGUUGCAAUGAUUGUUGGAAGUGAUGAGCUUCAAGAUGCUGCACAGUUGCUGAACUGUUUGGCUGAAAUGGUUUAUUUCACGUAAAGUGAUCUGUUCCAUUCUGCUUUAUCUAUCUUCUAGUUAAUUUUGCAUUCAGAAUACACUGACGACCCGUUUAUUUUUACCUUUUGCAGGGUCUGUGCAUGUAUGCAGGUAUGAUGAGUUUCUAAUACAUGCAAAAUGACAUUUUGUUAUAUCCUUAUUUUGAACCAUUUCUUAACAUUUUCUUUGAUUACAGACACAACAUAAGAUUGAAAUGGACAAACGAGAUGGCAUGUUCGGUCCACAACCCAUGGCCAUUCCCCCUGUUCAGCAGAUGUCUCGCCUUGAUCAACCAAUACCCCCUGCAGCUGGCUAUCCACCAGCAGCAUAUGGACAGCCUUAUCCACCACCUCAAGGUUACCCGCCGGCCGCAUAUCCUCCUCAUCAGUACCCUCCAGCUGGUUAUCCAGCACCUGGUUACCCACCAUCUGGUUACCCUAAGUGAUCUUUCUAUGGUUUACCUUUUGGUUUCAAUUGCCUGAAUCUGGAUUACUGACUACUGAGUCAUGGAUGAAGCUGGUAUUCUUUAUAAAAUUUGACUUUGCAUGCUGUUGGGAUUUAUAUAUAGUGUUUAUAUUAUAUUAUAUUGUGUGAUUUACUUUUUUUUAUAGCUGAUUUAAACAGCAAAAAGUGUUAAAUAUUAAAACUGUCAGCUUGUUUAUUCUCAAUAAUUUUCUUUUACUUCAUGUUUCUACGCUAUUGAGUUUUGAUGUUUAUUUAUAAACUUUAUCUUCAAUUUUGGUAUAUAAACCAAUAUUUGUUAAAGCUGCAUAUCCCAUGUUCCUUGUCACAUUUAUUAAGAUUAAAUUCGAUACCUGAUGUAUAAUAAAAUUAAAUGCGUGUAAUUAAAUAUAUGACCCAAAACAAAGGUACGGUCGGGGAGAUGUAUGACGUUUUGCUUUGAAAUAUUUUGGUGUCAUUGUCACACCUAAAAUAGUGCGCCACUGACAGAUCAAAUGCUUGAUAUUUUUACAAAUUCGGAUGAAGCAUUAAACUAUUAAUCUGUUUGAAUUCUUAUUUAAUACGAAAGUAAAUAAGAGAAUGAAUCCUCGAACUUAUUAUUAUAAAUGCACCAAGACAAUAGCUCAUCCUAUAUGCGGAUCCCACGAGCUGGCACUAUUUGCACCACACGCCACCACCUUUUGUCUCAUCCCUCGUCCUUUCGUCUUAAUUUAUAUACAAAUUUCAUGAUUAGCUUUUGGAAAUGGGAAAUCUCUAAGAAAGGCUUUACAAUUUCUAUAAACUCAAGUGUUACAAAAUACUACAAAAAUAUAUUUACUAAAUUAUUUAUUUAGGUAAUAUUUUAUAUAAUUAGUGUUACAUAAAAUAUUAUGAGAUUUGUAAUUGUUUGUUUAAUUAGGCAAUAUUUUCUGUAAUUAUACAUAAUAUAAUGAAUGUUGUAAUCAUUUGUUUAAAUAGCCAAUUUUUUGUAUAAUUGUGUCGCACUAAACAUUAUAAAAGUUGCAAUUCUUUGUAUAUUUGUGUAAUUAAUGUUACACAAUAUGUUAUAAUAUUUUUAAAUUACACAAAACAUGUAAUGAAUUGCUUAAUCAGAGCUCAGGACUCCUCUUAGAAAUGAGUUUUCCAUUUGUUUAAACUUUUCCAUUUUCCCUUUAUUCUAUUUUCAUUUGAUUCAAUAUUCUUCAAAGAAUUUCAUAAAUUAAAUUUUAGAUUUAUUAUGUUCACUUUUUAAUUUCAUGAUUUUUUUGGUAGAAGUAUAUUUUUUUUUCAAGAUACGUCAGUUAAUAAUAAAUUAAUUUUACUUAAUAAUUUUUAACUAGAUUGGUUCAAAAAGAAAAUAAAAACUUUUGCCUUACUAAAUACACUAAAUAACCAUGUAAAAAAAACCCUAUAUAACCAUUUAUUGCACAAAAUUUUAGACCAAGUUAUAUCACUUGCGUCGGUUAUGUUUUGUCCAGUCGUGUUUUUGAUGUUUUUAUUCUGUUUCUUCCAAAAUGCAUGUUUUUUGUGGGCGAUUAGCUUAAGUUUGACCAAUAAACCGGACCUAUUGAGCCAUUAAUGGACCGACUAGCCAGACCCAAUUAGGCCACAUGAAUCGGACAUGUAAGCUAAAAUCCACAACUUGGGCCUAUGAACCUUAUUCAUGAACCGAAUUUGUGAACGAGACCCAUAUCCUGAACACAUGAAACGAGCCCAUUAUCAGAAUCCGUGAAUUGGAUCAAAGCCCAAAAAGGGCUCUGGGACAGUAUAAUGGACCCGAAAUGGAGCCCAAACCCAAAAGACCCUUCAAUCUGCUAGGGUGGAGGUAGCCGGCGUGCACGCCUCCCGACAAAGGCACCAUGUUGCGACGAGGCUCUAGUCAUUCCUAACAUUUGAUUUAAGGAAUGUAAAGUUGUGCAUUGUAAAAAUUAUAUGGUGGAAUGUUUGAUAGGUUAAAUAAUUUUAUUUGGUGGAAGAUUGGUGGAGUCAUUCCCAAUAAAUGCAUAUGGUUUUAGGCUACUGAGUUUAAUGUUUUAUAUUUGGUUGUUUCAAUGAUGAAAUUUAUAACUAUUUUCAGACUUAUUAUCUGAUUUUUUUUUCAAUACAAUGAUAGUAUACUUGUUUGUAUGAUUAAAUCACAUGAUAUAGUAACUACAAGUUUAUCUUAGUAUUAUUGAAUCACGUACAUAGUAAAUUAAAAAGUUUAUUAGUCUAAAUAUAUUAAUUAAUUGGCAUGAUCGAUUAGACUAUCUCAAUUAAUAAUGAUACGAAAAACUGAGAAUUUACAUGGAAGUUUAUUAAAGAACUUGUAUAUCAUUUAUUUUAAAGAUUUUUUAAGUAUUGCUUGUUCUCAAAGAAUAUGAAUUAUUAGAACCUUGCUAACUCAAGUUGAGACUAAAUCUCUAACAUUUCUGAAAGAAAUAUGGACUUGUUUAUCCAAUAAGUGGAUGUUCUGAUAAGAUCCUGGUAGAUGCAUCCACAAGGUAAUCACAUCUGAGUUAUCAGUGUGCAACUUGAAGUUUACGAUAUUACUUAUUUAAUGAUUAGUGUAAGAACAAAACUUUCAAAUUAUGCAAUUGAGACAAUUCUUACUAAUGUUUGUGAAUUCAAUUCUCAAGCUUUCAAUGAUUAUUAUAUGUUAAAUUGUCGGUGCGAGUAAAUAUCACAAAGCUUGAUGUUUAUGUAUAUAAAAUCGGCAUAAUGAUAUGAUAUUUUAUAUGAAUCCACAUUUGUACGCAUCAUGCCAAUAAGUUUUGAUAAAUACUCCUCAUUACAAUAGGAAUCAAAUACAACCCAUUUUAGAAUUUUAGAAUAUGUGAUAUAUGUUUAAGUUGCUACACCACAAUGCACAAAAUAUGUACUUACAGAAAAUUGGGAAUAUACAUUAGUUAUGUGUCUUCUUGUAUUAUUAAAUGUGUUAAAUAAAUUGGAGAUUUAAUUAUAACAUGAUUUGUGAUUACUAUUUAAUUUGAUAAUUUUCCCAAGAUAAGGGGGGAGAGAAAUAAUAGUUGGAUAAAUAAAUUACUUGGGAUGAAUUAUCAUUAUCUAGAUCCUCAUAAAAAGUAAUUUGAACCAAAAGUUUAAGAAGAUAAUGCACUUUAUUACAACUUAAUUGCCAGACACAUUUAUUAACUUGAUAAAAAUAACUAAGUGUUAUGUACCAACUGAUAUUUUGAAGUCUCAACCGACAACCUUGCUAUAAAAAUGAAAGUAUUGCAUGCCUAAAGCAUGGUAGAUUGAUUGAUUCCAAAGAUAAAAUUCUAAUACAACAAAAUAAUAAAUCAAGAUGGUCUUAUAGUGGAGGCGAAUGUUCCUAAACAGACCUAGGCAUAACUAAUUAUUAAAACUACAGAAGAGAUUCAAGUAUUUGAAGAUGGAAAUAGUGAAAAUAAAUAUAUUUUAGUAAGUUAUGCCAAUACGAAAAAAUAUGGAAUCAUGAAGAACAAAAAAUUGUCGACAAUGAUUUUGCAUGGAAUAGUAUUAUUGAAAUAAUGAAAGAAAAUGAGGAUUUUCAAUAAAUUUCUUGAGAAAUACAGAGAUGGAAUAGAUUAGCAAAAACAAAAAGACAUAAUUUAAGUCUAAUUAAAUUCAUAAAGUUUAUGGAUCAGUAGUCCAAACAUCUAAAGGUAUAAAGCCAAUGGAGUAGAAAUAUUGAUUAUAUUUUGCAAAAAUAAAAUAAAAUAAAUGAAAUUUUUCGCUAAGUCCAAGCAUUGAUUAUGAAAAAUAUUCUUUUGUAGUAGAUGCAAUAACAUUUAGAUAUAUUAUUAGUCUAGCAGUUUAUGAAAUAUUUGAAAUGUGCCUUAUGAUUUUUGUUACAAUGUUUACAAAAACCACUAUGCAGUGGAAGUUUAUAAUAAAAUCCUUUAAGGAAUAAAAAGGCUGGAAGCAUAUAGAAAUUCUCAGGAAAUUAUGCAAUAUGUUUGCCUAAAUAUUUAUAUGAAUUGAAAUGAUUUCAACAUAUUCGACUCAAUGAAUAAUAGUUGAAGGAAGAUUAUAAAAUGAUCCAAAAUACUAUAUGUAUUUUUAUAGAAGGAUCAUGAUCAAAAUUUGUUAUAAUUAUUGUUGAAACUCCUUAAGAGAUCAAAAUAUAUUUCCCCCAAAUUUUUUUUCUCUCCUAACUUUCAAAAGAAUUGUGAUAUAAAUAAUUAGAAAUAUAUUCAAGUGGUCAUUUGAAAGCUAGCAUUUAAUAUUGGAAUACGUAGAAUGUAAGAUAUUACAUGAUGUUGUUAUAAGAUUGAGUAAAUAUGCAUUGUAUUAUUUUUCCAUUAAUCGAGGUUUUGUCCCAUUAGAUUUUACUAGUGAUGUUUUUAAUGAGAUAGCAUAUUAUGCAUAUUAUAAAUAUGCACACUAUUUUUCCUUCAGUAAAAAAAUAUUCCCCACAAGAUUUUUAUCUUUGUAAGAUUUUAUCAAGACAAAUUAUCUACAAGUACGCUUAAAGGGGAGUGUUUAAAUAUUAUUAUAAAAUGGAUAUCCAUUAAAAUCAUGAUAAGUUUAAUGUACUUUAGAACUCCAAAAUUAUGAUAAGUUCAAUAUUUUAUUACACUAUUCAUUAAAAAAUAGGUUCUCUUUUGCUCUCCUAUGUCUGGUUGUUUACUCUCUUUUUAUUGUUGUUUUUAUUUUCUCUAUUCUUUUAUUUCAUAACAUUUUUUUUAUAAUUCUAAUUUAUAGGAUGUUGAAAUAAAUUUAUAACUUAAUGUACAAUUUUGUCCUUGAGUUUGACAAUUUUUUUAAUGUGGUACAUUUUUUUUUUACAAUGUGCUACCUGUAUUUGACAAAACUAUACAUUUUAGUACUUGAAGAUAAUAAUAUUAAAUUUUUAUUUUUUAUUCGGGUUUUAGAAUUAAUUUAAUGAUAAUUCAUUAAAAAGAUAUAUUAAGCUUAAAUUUAUAAAUUUAAUUUUGAUUAUAAUAAUUCAUGAAAAUUGAUUGUAUCACCAAACAUAAUUAAAUUUAUAAAUUAUGGUUAUAAAAAUUCAUGGUUUUUUUAGUUUUUUAUUAGACUUAAAUUUUAUUUGAAAAAAAAAUUGAUUAAAAUAAUAAAAAUAAUGAGUGAAUUGGUAAAAAGUUUAAAAUUACACGCCUAAUUAUGAACCGUAAUCCAUAAUAAGAUUACACUUAUUACACCUUGAGGACAAUUUGGCACUAUUUGAAAAUGAUAUUACGAGAUGGUUAAAAUGUUGAAAAUCCAAACGAAAUAAUUUUGAAAUGUAAGAUUUGAUCAAUCAAACAUACAACAAAAAAAUAUCGGUGCGUUGACGCCAUGAAAAACGUGUCGAACAAAGCCAAGCUGAAGUAGAAACUUGAGCAAACGCUCAACGAACAACACCAGGCAUGAAACCUAAAUAUAACUUCGAUAAACCACGACAGCAUCAUGCUGAAGAAACAGGUAGCCACUAAAAGUGAUGCAACUUCAACUGCUACGCUUUGCAGAAACCAGUGAUAUGAAUAAUAUAACCAUACUUGAAACCGUGUUCAGACCCUAGUAAUAUGAGUAAUCUUUGUCAAUGAUUGGCCAGAAACCUACAACAUCUCAUAUCAUACUUUAUUAUGAUUCAGAAAAAGAGUACUUUACCAUCCUCAAAAUGAUAUGGGCACCAACUAAACAAAAGUUUCACUAACUUUUACCAAACAAAUGAUCCGGGACGAAUAAUAUGAGAAAUACAUGAACAAACAACUUCGAAGCUAUUCUUUCUCUGUGGUUGAUGACUCAAUCCUACCCUUCAAGCAGCAACUUGACCAAAGAGCCACUUGCGGAUCUGCAACGAGAGCAAAUAAACUAAAUUGAGAGAGGGAGAUAACAACACUGCACCAGCAAUUUGCUUCUUCUAGCUCUUCUUGAAGAAUUAUUGUGUAACUAGGCAAAACAAGGUAGAACUAAGCAAAAUGCAUCCCAAAAAAAUACUACCAAACGCACUUCUGGAAGUUUUUUAUUGAAUGCAACAUCCAAUCGUGCAUCCAAGGUGUUCUCACACACAAUCUUUCCAUCUCGAGAUGCUAUCACAACACCUCCUGAGCUGCAAACCAGGGGAAAAAGGGAUCAGUAUUAAAGUUUUAUCGGUUUACUUCUUUUCUUUUUCCUUCUCAUUUCAGGUAGGGGAAGGGCAGAGGGUAACAUCAAGGGGAGGUUGGUAAGAUAAAAAAAGAAAAGAAAAGUAAAGCACAACUAAGCAAUAUUUCAUACAACUACUAGAAUCAUAAUACUCAACACUUAAUUACUUCCUCGAGACAAACAUUCACGUCCCUAAGGAUCAAUCCUCACAAUCGGUAACAUGUACUCUCGCAUUUUCAUAGAAUUAAUCAUGCAUACCAGAAAGGGCCAUGAGCAUUGUGAUGAGAAGGUGCAGAAGGAAGAUGGACAUUGUCAAUGAAUAUCUCUGGAGGAUGAACAUUCACUUUGGAAGCAUAUUCUUCUUUUGCUGAAUCCAGGACAGACUCCACCAAGGGCACAUCAUCUUUGCGACAGCGCAGUAAGACAGCAGGCUCUUUCAGCCUGACCAAACUCUGCAAUAAACAACAUACUUUCAGCAUUCAACUGUACAUGAAAAUCAUUCAAUUCAAGAACUCCCAAGAUUUUAUCUAAUGCUGCAAUUUUGAAAUAUUUGCAAAAAUGGUUUUAUAAUCUUGCCAUUCACUGACCUGAACAAUUACAUCUUUCAAAAGCGUUCUGUACACAUGGUGAUCACGGCUCACGUUCAGAAGUUCCUUGGCUGCCGAUUCUUUCAUUUCAUUAACCACAUCAUCUUGAGCUUGAAGGACCUUAAUCCUAGAUGCAUUAAGCUGCAUCGAAUACUCACUGCAGCAACAGAAUAAAUCUUACUCUUAUUUGUAUCCUUCUAUUAUCCUACGUGUCAAUUUUGCAUCAAAACAAAAACUAAAUUCUCUUGGCUGUCACAUUAACUAUCAUUGUGAGCAUCAACUUCUUCAAUUUACUAGCUUCACCCAAAUCACAUUAUAGUUUCAGAUUACAAAUUAAACCAGAGCCAUCUCCGAAUCUGACUACUUCUCAAUUACUAAUGUAAAUCUCAGCUUGACUAUAGAAAUCCAGUAUGAUAAAUCAGUUGAACUAAGCAGAAUAUUUAAAAAAAGAUCAACUUACAUCUUCUUUCGAACUUCGACUUGCUUCUCCUUUUUCUCGUACUCUUGCCUGAUCUUCUUCUUCUCUGCCUCCACCAACUGGAGCUUCUCGAUGUUGAAUUCCUAAAACACCAAUCGAUUCACCAUCAAUUCAUCGGAACAUCCAAAAUUCACAAAAUUAUAAGCCAGAAAGGGGGAAAAGAGAGAAAACGAAUGAAAAUUGAAAUACCUCUUCCGCUGAAACAGAGAUCUCGUUAGCCUUCUCCUCUGCUUCUUGGCGGAUGAAUCUCACCAUCUGCUGGAUCUGCCUGGAAACAUCUCCGUCGUUCAUUUUCGCGGGGAUCCUGAUUUGAUCAGAAAAUAUUGUAGAAUAAGAUAUUUUUAUCUGAUUCUCGAUCAGAAAAGAUUAAAAAAAAAAUGAAAGCGAACAGUGAAGGUAACCAGUUUUUAUACGUGCUUCCCAGAGGUGUAUGGUGAAUGGCCGUUUGCUUAAUUAUUCACUUUUUAAGAGAAAAAAAGGGUCCCAUUUAUUUAUGAACUACUAUUAUUUUGUAGUUAUCCUCAUAAUGACGUGGGACAUUUUCUGAGCGUACGAUUUUCGAGAGUAUCAAAUUAUCAACCUUCCGGUUAUCGCCUAGUGUUUAGAUUUUAUUAUAUUUAUAUACUUAUUAAAUUAUUUAUACACAAUUUUUUAUAAUUCAAAUAAAAUAUUAUUUGGUCUCAAAUUUUAAAUUUUUUGUAGUGAUUGUGACACGGGUGACUCUAAUGUGAAAAAUUAAGACCAAUUUUUUUUAAUGAUCAAUUGUUAAAGUUAACGGUUAAAGAAUUUUUUUUAAAUAUUUAAUUAAGUGUAAAAAAAAUUAAGGGCUUAAUUGUUCUUUUUUAAAUGCUUGUGUUUUUUUGAUACAUUUUGAAAGAUUAAGUGUAAAAAAAUAGGGGCUUAAUUGAUCUUUUUAAAAAAAUUUGAGAUUUUUUUAAUGUAUUUUAAAAGUUUAAAUAUUCAAUUGAAUGAAAAAAAAGACUUAAUUAUUUUUAAAAAAAAUUAAAAGCUUAAAUACAACAAGAGUAAUAUAAUUACAAAUUCAAAUAACUACAAAUAGAAUCAAAUUAUUAUAAUAACAGAUUAAAUGGAUUAAAACUCACACGCAUUACGAAACUCAAAAACCUUCAUAUUAUUAUAUAUAUAAUUGUGCAUAACAAACCUCUACUAUUUAUCAAUUAAUUUAAAGGAAGUACCGUAAAAAGGUAAACUCACAACCGAUCUGAACCGUUAGAUGUAUAACGACUUGAUGGGUCUAUUUUUAAAACGGGACGAAGCUUAAAAUCAAACCCACUAAAAUGGAUCGCAGGCCUAGAAUUUGAUCGUUUAGAUGAUGAUUUUGUAUCUUUAAUAAAAAAAGGGUUCUCUCUCCAUCUGGUCCAUUCUUAUCUCGUAAAAACCAACCAAAAAUAAUAUGAACCAAGGCCCACUUUUGUAGGUCUACCAUCACAAAUUGACUAUCAUAUAUGAUAUUUACACAUGGCAUGUAAGGCACCCUCCUGUGUUUUCCAAUCAUUAGUCCUUUUAAUAUUAUUAUUAACAUCCAACAAAAAGCACACUUUUUAUUAUUAAUAAUAAUAAACUACAGGUCAACAAUGUGUUCAUUGUAUGUGUAGAAUAAUUGUUUAAUUUGAUUAAAAUUGUUUAGUUCAACACUUGAUUAUAACAUAUAAUGUAUGGGAGAAAUAUAUAAAUUAUCAUAAAUAGCAAAGAAAGGGGAAAAAAAAAGGGGGCUAAGAAAGGAGUGCUAUAUGAAUACAAGUCACAUGUUAUCCAUAAGUAAAGUUUGGUAUUAUAUACAUGUAUGUGUAUAUAAUAAUUGUUUGGGGUGAGGGUGGGGGUGGGGGUGGAGUGAAGAAAGGCCCAAUGAAUAAGAAGAAUUGAAAGGGAGGGCAAAGGACAAUGACACAAGUUUUGAUGAAAAUAAAAUAAAAUACAAAGAGACAUGUCCUCAUUUGUCCUCCUUUAGGGAAUAAAUAUAUGUUUAUUAAAUCCAAAACUUGAUUUGCCUUGUGACUUUGGGAAUUGGGGAUCCCUUUCCCUUGCCUUGCUUCACUUGUCUAUUAGUCAAGCACAAAUCUACAUUUUUCCAACUUGGCUUGGAAUUUAAACUGAAUAUCAAUUUGGUUAAAUAAAUUUAAAUUCUAUCAUGUUAUUUUAUACUUUUUAAUUAUUUUUGUAUUUACUUUAUAAUUAUCAAAUCAAUAUUUGGGAACAACUUUUCCAGAGUUGUCAUAUGGAAUUGGCAAACUAUUUAUUCAUGUAAAUAAAUAGUGAAUUAUUUGAGUUAAAACAUAAAGUGAAUUUGGGAGCAACAUGAAAAUUAAGUUGAAUCAAAUUAAAAGAUAACAUAAUAUCAUGUGAGUAUUUAAAAUUUAAAUGUUUAUUUAAAAUUUAAAAGAAUUUAAAUAAAAUAUUAAAAUAAAAAAUAAAUUUGAAUAAAAAGAGAUUUGAAGAAAAUUUUAAAUUCCUACUUUUAAGUUAGAGCAUGCCAAAUUUGAAAAAAUAGAAGAAGAGGUGUUUAUUGAUUUUACCAAUAAAAUUUAGUAAAGAGAAAAUUAAUGACCGUAAAAGAAAAACAAAAUUAAUAAUAUGAAUGAGUAGGAAAUAAUAUCAGCCAUUGUUAUUAAUAAUUAUUUCCAGGAGGUGGGGAAGACCAGGCUGAGCGUCCCAAUGAAAAAUAAUCCCCAAAAAAAGAAUCGCAAAAUCCCAAAUCAAAAGUCACAAAUCGCACGCAAAAAACAAUACCAAUGCGGCCUAGUGAAGCAAAUGAAUGACUAAUUUAGAAACAAAAGACAAUCAAACUUUCCAUCUAAUCCAUGCACCCCACUGUAAAAUAAAUUGAAAAAAAACAACAGUAAGUCCGAUGACCGAUACAAUGGUGGCCCCCCAUGUGAGAUUGCCCUCUGCCCCUUCUUCUCCUACCUUUUCCUCUCUCUCUCUCUCUCUCUCUCUCUCUCUCUCUCUUUGCUUUGCCACUCUCAUUUUUUAAUCUCUGAAACAACAACAAUUGCAAAAGCCCCCCCAUGUUAUUGAUCUGAUCCAAAACACUCCAAUAGAAAACAGAACAAGAGUUAGAUCUCAUCUUUUCUCCUUCUAUUUCCUUUGUUUUGUGCAUUUAAUGCCCCAUUUUCAGGUUGGCUCUUUGGUCAUGUUUUUUACUUGAGUUCUCACCCAGCUGGCCGCUUGUAAUUUCCCUUUUUCCUUUUUGGCAUCCACCGCCAUACUAAAUGCUUCUGCCAAGUGCCAAUGCUGUAAACUAAGGGAGUAGCAUACAGUCAAAACUCAAAAACAAUAGAGGAUUGCAUUGAAUAUCAUUUCAUGGCAACAACUACAACUACAAAUAUAUCAUCUGCUCAGCUCAAAGUACAAGUCCAACCCAUCAAGCCUAAGCGCCGCAAGUGCAAGGAAAACCACCAUUUCUUCCUCUGCUUCCUCGGUGGCUACUGGUUCUGCUGCUUCCGGUGCUACGAACAACUGUGCUGAAUCGGGUGGUGUUUCAUGGAGUUCUAAGCCGGAAACUUGACUCGCCCACCAUUGUUUUCUCCUGAUAGGUCUUGGUGUUGCCUGCUUCCAAGCCCCUUCCAACGCCCCCUCCUUCUCCACCUCCGCUUCCGCCGCAAGCUCGCCGUGUCCCGGACCAGGGGUUAAUAGAUUCUUUGUCGGGCUUCAGGAUCCGAUAUUCUCCAGGAAGCGUAUUGCCUGUCAUGGACUUUACGGGCGGAACAUUGCUCUCCAAUGGUCAUUCUCCGUCGAGUUUCAACAAGUUCAACUCUGCACUGACGGCGGGUCUCUUAAAACCCGAUGUCCCCANNN